rnacentral:lncRNA from 1 species
UUUUAUAAAUUUUUUUAAAUAUAGUAGAAAAAUCACUUAAAUAGACCUAAAUACCCUCAAAAUUAAAACCAACUAAAAAACCCUAUUGGAUCAGAAUUUUGGAAAAAUGAGAGGCCACUACAUUUUGUGGGUGAUGUCAUAGCGUUCCCAGUCAAUACCAAUGAAAUCAAGGAUCUUAGUAUAACUUUUCAUUUUCACCUGUGGCUUCAAUACGUAUGAAUGAACAUGAGAUAGGCACUUGUGUUACUUUGGCUGUAAUGUUUAAUGGGAUUUCGCGGCUAUUACUAUGUUUGUCUAGUUUCACGUUGUUGUUGGACUCAUAUGGUUAGAAAUUACACCUACACGAAUUUUGUGAUUGCUGAUAUUUAAUCACGCAUAUUAUGAGUGUUACUUGACCUUCGCCAUAUGUUUUCUCUGCUAUUUCACUCUCUGCCUUUCGAUUUGUUUCUCUCUCACACCAUUAAUUAGGCUAAAUUGGAUUAAUGCCUUUCGAUUUGUUUCUCUCUCACACCAUUAAUUAGGCUAAAUUGGAUUAAUGGUCUCCCAUAAAAAAAUGAUUAAAUGUGACAUGGAUGACUAUUUUUUAAUCUUACAUCUAGUAUUAUUGAAAAAACAAUCUUAUUUGGGGAUUAAAGUAAAGAUUUUUUUAUAAAUAAAUUAGGAUUUAGGAAUUUAUAAAUAUUUAACAAAAUUAAAGGUGACUCUUAAUUAGGUAACAUAAAGUUCCAAAUCGGCCAAAUUCAAAAGUGCGUGAACUAAAUUGGUGGCGAAUGACUGGAAAUAUUUAAGCCGAAAUACAACACACCUACCUGUAUAGUAAAUUCUCGUGCUCAUCAUCGUUCGGAAUGUCGAUAUUCCACCAUCUUGGUCUCAGACGCAAUUCCAUCCGCUCAAUUGCUCAUUCCAUACGCAUUGCCUCCUUCCCUACCCACCUCUUCCACCUCUUCUCCUCCACUGUGGCCUCUCCUGCCCAAGACGUCGAGGACGCCUAGAAGGUGCUUGUUAUAAAUCCCCAAAGGACUAUCCGGAUUCCUACUACAGCUAUAACUUCUGGUAACUCUAGCUCUGUGUAUGGUGGUUCUUGGUUUCACUCAGCUGGUUCGUCCAAGACUAACUACUAUCGUGAGGACCUUUUGCAAAUAACACCCACCUAUAGUCUCUUUAAAGAACGAUAUGCGGCCUUGGAGCUUACCAUUAAAGAGACUAUAGGUGGGUGUUUUUUGCAAAAGAUCCUUGCGGUAGUAGUCGGUCUUGGACGAACCAGCUGAGUGAAACCAAGAACCACCAUACACAGAGCUAGAGUUAACAGAAGUUAUAGUUGUAAUCGGAAUCCGGAUAGUCCUUUGGGGAUUUAUAACAAGCACCUUCUGGGCGUCCUUGACGUCUUGGGCAGGAGAGGCCACACUGGAGAAGAGGUGGAAGAGGUGGGUAGGGAAGGAGGCAAUGCGUAUGGAAUGAGCAAUUGAGCGGAUAGAAUUGCGUUUGAGACAAAGAUGGUGGAAUAUCGACAUUCCGAACGAUGAUGAGCACGAGAAUUUACUAUAUAGGUAGUUGUGUUGUAUUUCGGCUUAAAUAUUUCCAGUCAUUCACCAACAAUUUAGUUCACACACUUUUGAAUUUGGCCGAUUUGGAACUUUAGAUGAAAAUUUAGAUGAAAAUUUUGAUUUAGAUGAAAAUUUAGGAGGGUAAAGAUUGGAAACGCACAGAAAGGGAGGCCUUGUAUUUCUGCCAAUAUGAAAUCCAAUCCUCCUUGUCCCAUCGGCCCUUGACAAACUUCUCCAGAACACAUGGUUAAUAUAUAGUCAUUACAAAGAGAUCUAUGAACCAUCAAUAUGAGAAUUUUGUGCAAAGAUCUAUAUAUCAAUUGUGAAAGCAUAAUUUUUGUGGUUGUGGUAUGCUAAUGUUCAUUUGCAGCACAACAGAUGCAAGCUCAUAAUAAAGCAGAGAUGGUCAAUGUAAAUACAACCUGAUCUAACCACAAUGUGCAAAAGGAACUCAAGUCCGACACUUAUAAAUUACUCCUUUCUAUAAAACUUGUUGAAAUUAAGUUUAGUUCUCUACAAAAAUCAAAUUAGCAUCAUAAAUUGGCAAAAGGGAAACUGCUUCAAAUUUGUGAUUUGAUAUAAUUGGACUUUAGAAAAAACUUGAUGAUUUUGAGGGAUCCAAUUUAACGGUUAGAAAAAAUUUCACUAAUUUUCAUUAUUUAACAAAAUUACAAAGGAGAAGUGAGAAUAAAAUUAAAAAAUUAAAUGUAUAUGCACCACACAAAGAUUGGAUAAACAUUUGACGAAGAAAUAUAGUACACCUGCAAUUAGGGUUUAAUCAAAUUUUGAGUAAUUAAUCCUUGAAAUUAAGCUGAUGAUCUAAAUUAAACAGAAGUUGAAAGGAAAUUAGUGAAAGGGAACAAACCUUGAUCCAUUUGCCUUGCAACAGAGACAUGGCUGGAGAACUCUCAGUCACUGUCGAAACUCAGUUGCCGAAGUAUCAGUCUUCGACUUGCUCUGCAAAAAUCCCCAAAUUGUUUAAGAUUUCUUCUAAAACAAAAAAAAAAAAUCCAAAAUUCGACCAACAAAAGUAACAGUGCAGCGAACUCAGCGAAGUCCUCGUCGUCGUCAAAGUCCGAGUCGGCGCCGUGGCUUCCCCGGAGCUGGUUACCGGCAAAAGCGUCGGUGUCUUCGAAGUCGGCGAUGUCGAAGUAGGUCGUCCACGACGUUCUCCAGCUCGUCGUUCUGAAACUGCGCCAUUUUCGACUGCGGAAAAACUCGGGGAUUAACUGAAAUUCACAAUGGCCAUUAAAUCGAAACCGAAAGUGGGAGAAGUGGCGAAGGAAUUUACCUGGAAUUUGUGAAUUCAGCUGGCGGGUUGAGAAAAACAGAGUGUGUAGAAUUUUCCCAAGAAACGAACAGAAAAAGCGAGCGUCUUUUUUAGGUGGGUGAAAGAAAACGCUCACCCACGGUGCUCAACUUAUAGACUUGGGCGAGAGCAAAAGAGAUUACUGGAAAGUGACAGCCAGUGGAUUAUUUUUCGGCAUGAAUGGAGCCAUGGUUUCUCAGAGAGAUCAGCGAGCUCACAUUUUUUAAUUCUCAGAGAGAGAGAGAAAACUGUCGAGCUUUUGCAGAAGGCGAAGUGUGUUUUGUCGAGGUAACGAACGGAGAUGAGAGAGAGAGGUGGAGCGGCUAGGGUUUGGGUAUGGAAGAGUUGAAAAAUGGAGAGAGCAGAUUCAAUGGCAGUAUUAAAAAAAAUAAGAAUAAAUUUACAAAACUAAUUAUCUUAUGCAUUUUUUUUUUAGGAAAAUUAAUAAAAAAGUUUUGAAAACUUUGAGUUUUAAUGAUAAGGACAAAAUAAAGGGUAAAAUAAAUAGUACUAUGUUUGACUUUUUAGUGUAAAAAUAUAAUUUUUCGUUAAAGUAAACAGUACCGCGAACUUUUCGUUAAAACUUCCUUUUUUUUUUUUUGCUGCUUUUGAUUAUGUAUAAGAGAUGAUUAUGUAUCUCAUCGUUGCUCUGGCUUUAUAUAUAAGAGAUGAUUAUGUAUCUCAUCGAAUGUGGAUGUACCCGUUAAUCUGAGAAUUUAUCGAUUCAACUCUCGAAAUUACGGUAUCGAUAUUAACAUAUAUAAAAUAGAAUUAUAUCACAUUUUCCUUUUGGACUAUUGAGCCAAAAGUUCAUUUAUUUAAAUUUUUAUAGCAAUUGGUGAUUGGCGCGUGGUUCUGAGAGCCCAUAAGUUUGGGCUGCCUUGCACCAUAAUUGGACCAUCCUAAUUGGUGAUUGGCGCGUGGUCAUAUAGCUCGAACCAAUUUGUAUGGAUUUUAUUUCUUAUUUAUUUUAUAUUUUACUUUAUUUUUCUGUUCAACAAGGGAUCAACAAUCUUUCUUCGUUGCAUGCAGACUCAAUGGCAAGAGAAUACUUAUUAUUGACCCAAGCUUCAAUAUUUGACACCAACAAUUUUUCAUCAAAAAUAAAAAACAGAAAGAUCUACAAUUAUUCUGAAACAUGCAUUCCAUGCAAACAGACAACACCUGAACCAAUUCUUCUACAGUACUGCACUCUCAUCACCAUCAACUGUCUCUGCUUCGUUUCCUUCUUUGAGGCUAAUUUCCCUCAAAUUCCUUCCGUUUCACCCUGAAUUUCCACCCAAAAAACCAAAGAAUUAACACGAGCUACAAUAACAACACUAACGCAUUCAACAACCAUGAGAAUAAGUGAGUCUUACAUACCCAUCUUCUGCGAACAAGCCAUUGGAUGGGAUUAAGCCUGGACAUUGCUAAAAAAACAAAAUCUUCAAGCCAAAGGUCCAAAAUCCGUGUGAAUACCGUCAGAAUCACCUUUCCCCUGUCCAAAAUCCACCGCCUUAGCGGUCCCGGACUUUCGUCCGCGGAUGCGGCGGCGGCGGCGGCGGAGGCGACGGAGGCGGCAGCGGUGGAGGUCGCUCCUUGCUGGUCAAGCUGCUGCUGCAGUGGGUUUAGGGCAUCGACGAUAGCCUCCAAGAUCUUCCAGUCUUUUUCAGACUGGACAUUUCCGACAAGUUCAACGUGCAAACUUCCUCCCCCGUUGUUAACCAGUUCUUGGGUCAUCAACCUCUUCAAGAGAGAGAAGAGGCUCCUUUGUCCUGACGCCAUCCUCGAUACAGCUUCGUCGAUUAUUUCUUCCAUUUCCGCACAGUUCAAUCCUCCCGCCUCCUUCUCUUUCAUCAAACUGCGGUGGCAAUCUUGGAUAUAUAGAUCGGAGGAGAGUUAGGACCCGCCGAGCUCGGACUCCGGGUUCCGCUGCAGUUUCGAUUUCAUACUGGGCAGCAGGUUCGACAUAGGUUUGCUCUUCGGACAUGAUUAUUGAUUCUUGUAUUGGAUGGGGGUACAUACAUGCACUGAUGAAUCCAACUUCUAACUUUUGAAUCCAAUAUAUAAGCAACUUCUUACUAUUGAAUCCAACUGAAUAUGAAGGGUGAGAGAUGAGUGUUACAGAAUGAAGGGUGAGAGAUGGGGUGCUCUAGAAGUGGUCCACGCCACGUCCCCAUCAAUCUAUGUGUACAUACGUGCUUUAAUAAUAUAAAAUGUGCUGCUUUGGACUUUUGUUCACGCGCAGGACAGGCAAUUGAACUAGAUUUCCAAUUUCGACUGUUCAAAUCACUCACGAUAUUAUCUACACUAAAGAUGAAGGAUGGUCUUAGUCUCACAAUAGGCUAGUAAUAAUGUAGUUCAAACUCGCAUUUGACGAGAAUCAAACCUACGACAUCUCACUUACAAGUUAAGUGGAAUUAGUUAAAUAUUUCAUUUUGUUAUAUCCAUAGCAGUCAUAGUAUGUACUAAUAUAGUUACGAUGUAGAUUCUUAUUUAAGCUUCUAUCGUGUGCAUAUCUAACUUAGUCAGUUACGAUUUGCUUGAAACUCUAAAAAUCGAUACCGAUUGCGAUUAUACAAAUGAAGUUUAUUUAUUCAAUUUUAACUCAACCUUAUAAAACUAUCCAUUUUAAUUAAGUUUGGACUUGGAGAUUCCUAACUAGUAAUACAAUUUAGUGGUAUUUUUCUCUUAAUACUCUUUGAACAAAUAAAAAGUAAAUUUUAGCCAUGUUAUUGCGAAUAUAGGAGUAAUUCAUAGCCAAAGAGAAACAGUCCCGUUAAGAAACUUCAAAAUUUAUUAAAACACCAAGUGAGCCAACAAAAAUGAUUAAUGAAAAUUACUCCAUGUUUUGUUUUGUUGUCUUAGUGGUUAAGUUGAUGUUAUUCCGCGAUGCAAGAUAUACGUGGCAAGUUUCACACGGGGCCUACCCACUUGACGAAAGCGAGACUAUUUGAUCGAGACCCACAAAUCAAGCCCGCCACGUAAGCAGGUUACUAAUGCGGACAUUGUGGACAGGGCACGGAACUCAGACCGAUCAAUUAAACCCAUUAUUAUAGAGUUUACUGGGGUAAACUAGACGAUAAAUUUUUCCUUAUGAUCGGAAUACGGAUAAUAUAUCAUGUGUUUUUAUAAGAGUGGUGAAAAAUCUCUCAAACUGGACGUGUCAAGAUAAGAGGUGAGCAUAGGGAUGACAACGGAUCAGUUUUGGGGACGGAAAUGUUAUAUUCAUCAUUAUAAUCAAGAAAAUUAAUCAUAUUCAUAACCGCAAAUUAACCAUCGGGUGUUAUCCAUAACCAUACAUACCGGAUAAUGAAUUUCUCAUCGGUUAACGGUUAUAUCCAUUCUUGUCAAUAAAAUUAUAUAUAUAUUCGUCCAAUUGAUGCAUUAUAAUUUAGUAAAUAUUAAUCUUGUCAUUAAAUAUUUGAUGUAUAAAAUGAUUUAAUUAAUGGAUCUUAUGGAUCAUCCCUUCGGGGACAUCAGAUAAAAAUGGAUCUUGUGGAGCAUAAAAAUUAAAGCUAAACAUUGAUAAUGUUGGUUGAUCUUUGAUAUCUCCCUUAAGUACAAUUGAAUAAAUUCAACUUUUGAUUAAUACCCGGUAUAAGAUUAAGAAUUGAAUUUAGUCAUUUGAUCCGCUUUAUAUGUCAUCAUGCAUAAUCCACAUCAUUUCACCCAUUUUACAUUGAUUUUAUUUUCUUUCUUCCAAUUAUAUCCUCGUGAACAAUAAUUGUUUUUAUGAGAGAUGUUGCAAAAUUUAUUACUCAUUUGACAUUCAAAUAUUUGCAUUUAAUUUAGGGAACUUUAACGAAAAACUCUCGCUACUGUUCACUUUAACAAAAAAUCACAUUUUUACACAAAAAAGUCAAUCCUGAUACUAUUCACUUUACCUUUAUUUUGUCCUUAUCGUUAAAAUUCAAAGUUUUCAAGCUCUUUUCAUUAGUUUUCCUUUUAAUUUAUUACUCAUUUGAGAAAUUUUGUAGAAUUUAUUACUCAUUUGAUAUAAGGUGAUGAUCCUCUCUCUCUCUCUCUCUCUCUCUCUCUCUCUCUCUCUCUCUCUCUCUCUCUCUCUCUCCCCUACAAGACAACCAGCCAUACUGCUCCACGGUGAGUCGGUGACCACCACUCCUCUCCAUAGCGUCGGCCAAAGGCUCACAUUAUCUCCAUAAACUCCAUUUCAGUCUCCGAAAUAAAAACUUAGACUUCAUGAUUUUUGAUUUUGCAUCUUCUAGUUUGAAUUUGCCUAAAUUUUUUUUAUUAAUCUGAAUGGAACUUUCCAUUUGAUGAUUGUUAUAUCUAAAUAUAUGAAGCCUUUUUUCCAUUUUUCACAACAAUAGUGAUCUCAACAAGAAGCCUUUUUUUUUAUAGCUACAUUAUACUUUUGAGAACUAUAUAGGUACAUACAUUUGGUACAUAUACUUCGUACAAUAUUUCGAUACAUAUAUUUCGGUACACAUGCUUGGUACAUAUAUUUCGGUACACAUGUUUAGGUACUAUAUUUCGGUACAUUUAUAUACUUUGGUGCACAUACGUCGGUACACGUACUUUGGUACACAUGUUUAGGUACAAUCAUUUUAUAAUUGUUUGGUAUAUACUCUUUACAUUGCAACUUGCAUAAUGAUAGACUUUACGUAUUUUGCAUUUUUUUCUUAACGUUUCAUUAAUAUUUUUUUGUUAUGGUUUUUCAUUCAAGUGCAUUUAUUAAUAGAGGAAGUCAAUGAUAAUGGCAAAAAAAUCUGGAUCAAAUGUCAUAGCCCGUCCCGAAAAAUUAAUUUUCGAUAAUGUGAAAUGACAAUUUUGUCCGUGGACAGGAAAAUUUUAGUGUGUAUGUGUGACAUAUUGAGACUUAGAGAUUUUUGUGUGGUUUUGGGUUGGUGACCACGUGGAUCACACACACACCACACUCACUCCCUCUCUCUUCCUUCCCGUGCCCUUUCUCCCUCGCAGACUCUCUCCAUCUCCCCUCUCUUUUGUACGGACAUCACCCAAAACCCCUGGAAACGUAGCAGAUCGAAGAUUCUAAAGGCACCAUUGCAUUCCUUGGGUCAUUUCGAGUUGGUUGGUACCCAUUUCAGGUAAGGAUCCCUUCGAAAUCUCAAGAACCCGUAACCCAAUUUUCAUGCACUAUUCAUGUGGACGUAAAACCUUGUGUUUCAGAGGAUUUCAAGCUCACAGAGAGCUUUAGGAGGUCCUAAGGAAGCUUGGGAUAGUUCGUUGGAAGAGUUUGGACGUCGGAGGGCCGAGAUCGAAGCUUUUUAAAGUUGACUGGAUUAUCGAGCUUCCUCAGGUAAAUUCUGGUGGAUUUCAAGGCUUAAAAGUAGUAUAACGUGAUUCUACAUGUUAUUAGCUUCAUUUUGGUACCAAUUGCAUGAAAAAUGGUGAAGAAACGAAGGAGAAUAGUGGUUUUGAAGUUUUACCCAGAAACCGGCAAAGUUGCCAGCUACCGGCGACUCACCGGAGAAGAAAGGGGAAUAUUCCGUCAGUUUUGACGGAAUAUGCUAACGCCGUCAGUUAGGUUUGACGGUUACCGUUAGGUUUUAACGGAAUAUUCCCUAUAAUAUUCCUGACGGCGUUGACUGACGCCGUCAGUGUGCAUGUCACUUGGCCGCGCGUGGAGGCGCGUAGGGCCGUGCCCUCGUCGGCGCGUGAUGGCGCGUGGGUGGUCGAAAAAAUAUUCUUAAAAUAUGGGGAUGUUCGUGGAGUUGUGUAGAUCACAUUGGUAUAUUCAUAUACCCAAUUUGAGCAUUGUAUGAGAAGUUAUUAGUUAGUUUUGCCUAUGUGCUUUAAAAUAACGUUUUUAUAGUUAUUUCGCAUAUAGGUGAGGCUUAUCCCGAUGACGAGCGUAUCCACGAGCGACUCGGGGGUUACGACCCGUCGACAUACCAGUGAGUGGGCUUUUGGUUUUCAGUAUAUAUUUAUAUACUUGAUAUUUUCCCAGAAAAUAUGUUUAAAUGAUAAUAUGCCAUAAAUGCCAUACAUAUACAAUUAUGUUUUGUGUAAGAAUUGAUGUGUGAUACCUUAUAUAUAUAUAUAAAUGUGGUGAUGUGGAGGCACAUGUAAGUACAGGUAAGUUACGUUUGGUUAUGUGAAUCAUCGAUGAUGUGAUAUGUGAUUGAAUGAUGUUGAGCUCAUAAAACUGCACCUAGGGUGAUUGAUUUAGCCAGAGAGAUGAUACAUGCCUGUUUAUUAUGUCACCCCCGCACUAUAUGCUCACAUUGGAUCCAAUUUAAGUGCACAGUCUUGUCGUACAUACCUUAUUUAUGGUUCCGACUCGUAGGUGACUAGCGAUUUAUCGCCCGGCUAUUAUGAGAGAGUAGAAUUGAGCAUAAUUAUAUCACACCCAUUAUUGUCGUACAGACCUUUUCAUUUGGUUCCGACUCUUGUGCAGUAUAUUGUCGUAUAAGUCAUUGUAGUGACUCCGACUAGGUUGACCUUUGAGCUAUGAAUUCAGCCGUACAGACUACCACAGGGGUUCCGACUAACACAUCACAUUUCUAUGAAAUUAUUCUUACCUGAAUUGCUUACUCUAUUAUAUAUUGGCAUGACAUGCAUAUGAAUAUGAUUAUGUGAAGUAUGAUUUGAAUUGAUAUGAUUUCAUAUAUAUAUUUAUGUAUAUGUUUAUAUUCUGAUUAUGGAAAAAAUUAUACAUAUUUUAUAGCGAGGGGUUAGAUAUGUUAAUAAAUGAAAGGGUUUUGUAAAACAUUUGUUUUUGCCCACUCACGUUUUCUAUUUUUGCCCACUCUCACGUGACGGCCAGCAUGCCUUGAUCACGGUCGGGGUGUGUCAUCAAAUAAAUAAAAAAUUUAGUUUGACAAAAAAAUCAAAUAUUUAAUAUGGGCAUUUUGGGAAUGAAAAAAAAACGAAUUUAAGUAUCUAAUAACAAUUCAUUAUGAAUUUAAAUAUAAAUGCUUGUGUGGAUAUCUAGUUAAAGGGCGAUAAUUAAUAUUUAAUCUUACAUUAGGUUUUAAUUGAAUUUAAAUCUUAUCAAAUGAUUAAUAUUCAAUUGCCACUUAUAUAUAAUUAUAUUAUAUAUUAUUCGGUUCGGAUUUGGGUACAUAUAUGAAUUGGAGAUCCUAUAACCAUAUCCAAAACCAUAACCGAAUAAUAUUCACGAUUUUUCCCCAUACCCAAAAUAUACCAGAAUUUUCAUACCCAAAUCCAAUUCAUUCGGACGGUUAUUCACGAUUAUCGAGUUUAAUGGUAAAACUUAUAAUUGUCAUUCCUAGGUGAGCAACAUGACAAGCUAAAGGCAGUGUGUACUUUAUAUUUCUUUUAUAUUCGUUUAUAGUUAACAGUUUAGUUAGUUAUGAAAAUGAUUCUUUAAUAGUGGUAUUUGUUGCAUUUAUUAUGUCACACCCCAAAAAUGGUAUCAUAGUUGAAACGAUAAUUUAUCCAAAUUUAUUUGGAAGCCAAAUACAUUGGUAGGCCAACAAAGCCGUGGUUAAUUAUUGUUCAAUUAACCACGAUGAAUUUCCUUAUUUGACACAUUCAUAACAUUUAUUUCGGCUUGAUCUAACUUAAAGUUAGAUUACCUACGUACUCUGUUAAGGGACCAAACCAAUCGUAGUUAUCAUCUUAUUUAAAUAGUGUAUCACUACAUAGGAAACAAUUUGAUCUCAAAAGAAUUUUCCCUGAAAUAAUUGAAUAGUAAAAAAGAAUUUAUAAUUGGUAGCAUGCCAAAGUUUCCCUGAAAUAAAUAAAUAGUGAAAAAGACAAAAAUAAUCAUCUUCUUUCUUCACCGACCACCUCUAUUAAGAACACAAGAAAUAAUGAAAUCAAUGGAACUAGUAGUAAGGUGGCUGGAGACAGAGGGAGAAAGGAUGAAUUUGGGGACAACGAUUAAAAAGAAAAGGGAGGGGGGGGGGAGAGGGGCCAUAAUAAUGUCACAUAAGUAAACAUAACAGUUAUAUAACGGAAUACAUAGAAACAACCCAAAGUGGAGUGAAUAUUGAGUUUGAAGAGUAAGUGCCGAUUUUUGAGUUUCAUGGGACAAAAUGAGAUUGAAAUCGAGUUUCAAUGAGCAAAGUGGCGUGUUUUGAGUUCCGAGGAACAAAGUGGAUCGAAAUGUAGUUCUACUGAGCAAAGUGGUGACUUUUGAAUUUCAGGAGACGAAGUGGGAUCGAAAUCGAGUUUCAAUAAGAGUAGCAAAUUUAAGUCUUAAUUUUUUUUGAAGUUUCUUAAGGGGACUGUUUCUCGUGGACUAUGGAUUACUGUUAUAUUCGCAAUAACGUGGCAAAAAGUUACUUUUAUCUGUUUAAAGAGUAUGAGGAGAAAAUUCUAUUACUAGUUUGUUGUCCCUAAGCCCAAACUUAAUUAAAAUGGAUAAUUUUAUAAAGUCGAGUUAAAAUUGAAUAAAUAAACUUGAGUUAUAUAAUCGCAAUCGGUAUCUAUUUUAGAGUUUCAAGCAAAUUGUAACCCACUAAUUUAGACAUGCACGCGAUGGUAGGUCAAAUAAGAAUCUACGUCGUGCUAUAUUAGGACAUAUUAUGACUGCUAUGGAUAUAACAAAAAAAGUACUUAACUGAUUCUUUGGAUUGGGAAUGAUAGAAUAGUAGAAUUAGGAGGAGAGGAUAAGAUCCAUAAUCUCCGAUUAUUAUUCCAAUUAAUUUCGGGAGCAGUUUUGCUCGCCAUCAUAAUUAUAGUGUAUUCCCACUAUACACAUUAUCAUAUGUCACGUGUCUUUUCACUUAACACAAUUAACUUUUCUAUAAAUGUUCAUUCUUCAUGUAAAAACACACGUGACAUAUGAUGAUGUGUAUAAAAUAGUGGGUUUAAGUUACAACACACAUUCCCUCGCCGAUGAACAAUCAUUGCGUCUCUUUACAAGUAAUACAUUCUUAAAGGGAUAAGAUUUUCUAGUAUCUUAAUUUCUUAAAUACAACUUACUAGUGAUUUACACCAUCACACAUCCAUAAUAUGCGCUAUAAAAUAUCAACGGUCACAAAAUUCGUGCAGGGGCAAUUUCUAACCGUGAGUCCGACAACAAUGUUAAAACUAGACAGAGUAAUAGUCGCACAAUCCCAUUAACCAUUACAACCAAAGUAACACAAGUGCCUACACGCAUACCAUACUAAUACGGAAACUGGAUUAUCUUAUUCAUAUGAGAUGGACUCUCUAUCCACAUCUUUAGUCCUCACUUCAUUGCCACUACUCUUGCUUACUGCUGCAGUUCGUUCAGGAAAUCCUAGUUGUCAACCAGGACCUACAAGCACAACGUCAAGAACCAAAGUAAUGAGCUCAACCGUUAAUGAUGCAUCGCCUCUAAAUUGUUAGAUGUAUUAGAUGCAAUAUAAGCACACACGCAGAGCAUGCAGACAUUUUCACAUGUGGAAAAAGUCAAACAGACGCUGGACCUUCAAUCUUUCAGCUGUGGAUUAGUUACAUGCCACUCCUUGUCCUUGCCCGCGAUAAAAUUAACUAAAUUGACAUUAGAACUAUUGUUUAUAUAACUAACCACGCCGAAAUAACAGGGGAUGAAGCAUAGUAAUCACGUUCUAUUUUAUCUUUGCGCUUCAAUGUUCCAAUGCCAUACGAAAUGUAACAAUAAAACAAUGAUAAAGUUGAGCAACAACUAAACAAGCGAAAACUCACAGUUUUCCAACCAUCGGGAUCGAGAAAAGAGGUGAUCUUGGUGUUGAGUACAGGAAUCGGUCCAGGCUGUCUGGUUAUCUUUCCUCCAAGCUCUUGUGUAACCGAAUUGACAGCCUCAGCACUUUUGUAGACAUCAUCGGUACUGAUAGUAAUCCGGUAUAUGCAGACACAAACGUAUCAGGAUAGUAGAAAUUGUUUGAGAAUUAAACGUUUUUAAAAGGACAAAAUAUGGAACAAGUUGCAAAAAAAGUCUGACCUGUGCAUACGCAUUUCCUUUGGUGUAUUUGGUCACACCAUAGCUAUAGGUCAACUCCAAGAUAGUUGCUUGGUCAUCUUCUAUAUGUACAGAUCGUGCCAUGGGGGGUGGGGGGGGGGGCGGCGGGCGGGCUGUUGGGGGAGGUUUCUACUGCAAUUGUUUGCUGCGAACGGUGGUCUAUCAAUUAGGCAACCAGUGGAGAUUCUCUUAGCCUAAAAGAAAAAGUGAUGCAACUUUAUUUCAGGAGGUCAUUUCGGCUCAAUUUUCUUCCUUAAUCAUGAUUCCACUUUGGGCCCUGAAUGCCAUUUUUGGCCCAAUUUGCCCCAUAAAUUUAAAUUAUAUUUCCACUUUAUUCCUGCCAAUUUUUGAGCCCACACGUUGACGUGGUAUUUGGAAAUUCAUAACUUUAUUUAUUUAUAUUGCUACACGUGUGGAGCCUACUUGGCAUGCACACACAAGAAAACAAAGGAUGAGGAUUCUCUCCGGAUUCUCAUCAUGGGAAUCUUAGUGAUCCUCACAUUCUAAUCGUUUAUCGCAGAUCGUGCGAUCAUUUUUCGUGAGGUACUAUGUUUAAUUUUAAAUAAAAAAUUUAAAAUAAUUUUUGACUGCAUGAUGUACAUAAACGGUUAAGAUAUAAGGAUCCAUCAGAUCCCCAUAAUUUGGAUCCAAAUCAGAAAAUAAAUACGCUCUUUGCAUGCCACAUCAGCAUCCAGAUGAAAUAAGAUGGGACUUGACGACACGUGGCAAAUGGGACGAUAAAGAGCAUUAGAGCAUCUCGUAGUGCAAAUUAUAAAAUAGAGAGUGAAGAGUGCAUUUAAAAGAAUAGUUUCAUCAUUAGCAGACUACAUAUUAUUGAAUUUUAUUUUUAAAUUCUUAUAUAAAAUGAUUAUUUAAACUUUAUAAGAAUUUAAAAUAGAAUUUUUUUUUUAUGAAUACACCCUCAAAUUAUGUUUAACGUUUUUUCAAAUUUUCUUCAAGCUCUCAAAGCAACUAUCACAUUUCAUUAUAAAACUAAACCCGAACUACAAAGGUAAGAGAGAGAGUUGAAAAGUCAUGGAGUUGUACAAAAUUUUAAUGUUCAGGAGGAGAUAGAAUUUGCACAAUAAAAAGCCCUGAGUUAAAUUGCAAAUAUGUUAAAUGAUUAAAAAUGAUAUGAAAUUUAAUAUGGUAUAAUAAUUGAAAAAAAAAUAAUGUAUCAAAUAUUGUCAUUUUGUAAAAUAUGCAAGGGUAUAAUUACUAUUUGAAAAUUUCAUUAAAUGGACAUUAUUCAUUAUUCGUUAAAAAAAAUAUUUAUUUUAGAAGUUGUCAUGCUUUUACUUUUCUACUAGUAUUGACAACAAUUUUUUAAAUAAACAUUUUUUAUUUAUUUUACCUAAUCCAUUUGAUGUUUUAGAUUAUUUAAUAAGUUUUUUUUUCAAAAGCACCACAUCCCAAAUAAGUCCUAAGAAUUUGAAGGUGGUGGUGAUUUUCAGAUAUAGGCCUUUGUGCACGCAUACCGCCAUGUAGUAGGUUUUUUGUUGUGACGGGAAUACGGAGGAUACAUCACGUGUUUUUAUACAAGUAGUAGAAAAUUUUAAUUUUAAAGUUAUUAACCUUUUAACACACAUAACUCAUCAUUUAUAUAUAAACAUAUGGUGUAUUAUCUCGUGUGACGGUCACACUGAAAAACUCUUAUGUGGUCAGUCGGUCGAGCAAAAAAGUUUCAGUAAAAAAAAAUCUCUCUCUUCUUUCUCUCUCUAGGAUUAAAAGGCUGCCAUUUUUUAUUUUUUAUUAAUUGAAAAACUGGCUCACACAUAUUCCAUGCAGAAGUAGGCUCACACAUACAGACUUGGAUUCUCUGCCCUCCAAUUUCUGUAUCCUCCUCGUGUCCUCCUGUUUUUGUGGUCUCGGUUAAGCCACGUCAACAUUUUAUAUUACUAUUUCUUUUUGUUUUAUUAUUUUUAUAAAAAAAUAAUAUAAAAUAUUGACGUGACUUAACCGUGACCAUUCAAAACAGGAGGGCACGAAAGGGCAGAGGGCAGACAAUCCAAGUCCCACACAUACUCCAUGCCAUCAAUUUCUACUCGUCUCUCAGAAAGUGGAAAAUGACCAUGGAAUUCAAAGUGAAGGCACUGGUUUCGGUUAUAUAUGUGCUCUCCUUCCUGAGCUAUGGCGGCGCUGCAGCUACCGCUGUGACCAGCACCACCAAUUACUCUGCUGCACCUGGUGCUGCGACCAACACCGACCACCACUCCGAUGGCGGCGUCGCAUCUGGUUGGGAUCUUGCAUCCAACCUCCAACACCGAGCACGUACCGCUUUCUGUAUGUGCGACACGACUUGUGGUACGUAAUCUGAUUACGCACCUUUCAUUUUUUCCCCUUCUUGUUCUGUUAAAUUGUUUGUUUGGAUCAGGAAGAUAGCAAUUAAAUCGGUUUUUGCAUUUUCUUUUCUUAUUAACCCAGUCAUGUCCUGGAGGAUGGAUUGGAAUAAUAUUUAGGAAAAAACUACCGUUUAAUUGGUUUAAUUUCUAAUGCAGGCUCUGUUUCGGCUGGUGCUGCGACCAACACCACCGAUUACUCUGUUGGCGGCGGCGGCAGAUCUGGUUCGGAUCUCUCGUCCAACCUCCGACUCCGAGCAUGGGCCAGCGACUCGACUCUUGGUAUGUAUUCUGAUCAUCUUCUAAAUUAUCUUGUUUUGUUCCUCGUCCUGUUUUAAUUAUCUUGUUUGUUAAUUUGGCUGGUUAGAAAAUUAUCGUGCUUGGAUCCUUUUGUUUUAGUUAUCUUGUUUGUUAAUUUGGCUGCUAAGAAAAUUAUCCUGUUUGGUUCCUUGUUCGGUUUUCAUUAUCUUGUUUGUUUGGCUGCUAAGAAAAUUGUCCUGUUUGGCUGGCAAGAAACAGAUAUAUGUGGAUUGGAUGUUGAGUGGAUGACUGAUCGAAUGAAUAUUCACUGCCUAUCAAUUGCUAAUUUUUCAUUUUUAUCAAGGAACGACAAUGAACUAGUUUUUAUACACGUCCAAGUACUAAAUUGCAAUAAUUCUUAAAUUAUACGAGUUAUUGCUACACAAGCGAUAUUAAAAGAAAAAAAUCCAAAUGCUCGUAACCACUUUCGUUGCAAGUUUUUUUUUGGCUAAAUAAUUUAGACAAAAUGUAAUCAGGAAGUAAGUAUGCAGUUUCUUGAAUCCGAAUGAUAUUUAUAUAUACCCUCCUCCUUUUAUCUGAAAAAUAUUAUGACUGGCCCACGGGCCACGUGCUCUCCCUCCUCCUUGCUUCUGUCGAAUUAGUAUAUAUAUCUCUACAGUACAUAGUGCAUUUCAGAGCAUAUCAUGUCAUAAGUGUCAUUUUCCGAUUUCAAGAAGAUUUCAAGAAACGGCGGAGGCCAAGAAUCCGAACGCUCUCGCACACAUGGAAUCGUCGUUCCAACCGUGGCUCAUUCUCAAUUCGAUCCGAUCAAUCCAACAUUGGAGACGCAGUUUGAUGGUGGAUGAUGGAAGAUACGAAUCAGAAAAAUUGGAAGUUGCCUUCUCGGGCAUGGUUUCAGUGGACAAAGCCCUUCUUAAUGUCCUGACGAGCCUGAUAUCCAAUGAAGUCAAGAAACGAAAAGGAAGCCUGAAGGUGGGGGUCAGCGGAGAUUUAAGUUCGGAGGACGAUCUUGAAACCUUGUCAGCAAUUAUCAGUGCUCUUGAGCAAGCUCUUCCACCGCCGCCGCUGCUCCCGCUCUCACGCCCAUGGAAUCGUCGUCGUUCCAACCAAGACGCAUUCUAAAUUCAAUCCGGUCCAUCCAACAGUGCCGGCGGAGAAGGAUGAUGGAAGAUACGAAUCAGAAGAAUUGAAACCUGCCUUAUUGGCCAUGAUUUCUGCCUUCUCAGACAUGGUUUCAGUGGAAAAAGCCCUUCUCAAUGUCCUGAGGCGCCUGAUAUCCGACGAAGUCAAAAGAAGAGGAAGUUUGGAGGUAGGGGUCAACGGAGACAUAAAUUCGGAUGAGGAUCUUGAAAUGAUGUCAGCUAUUAUCAGUGUUCUUGAGCACCAGAAGCAGCAGCAGGAGGGAACUCUUCCUCCGCCGUAGCUACCACCGCGGCUCCUCCCGCUCCUGCUUCUGUCACGCCAAUUACGAAUUGGAUUUCACAAAAGAGGAUGCUGAUUCUCAACAGUGGCACACGUGCCUUUGACAGAAUAUUGGAGGAUCUGGUUUACAGAGCAGUUUCACGGGUUAUUGAAGGUUUUUUUUUCAAAUGAACGCAACCAAUUGAUGGUGAUGUUACGGCAAAAAGGAAUUAGGUGAUCCUUUUUUCUGAUAUUGUUUUUUUGUAAAAAUGUCUUUUUUCUGAUUGUUGUUGAUGAAUUGAGGGUUUAGAAAAUUUGUACAAAUAUAAAAUUUGUAAUGGAAACUAUUCAUUUCUCAUUUCGGGCUUAAAUACGUAUCGACUAUGAACAUGAAAUUGGCCGGAAAAGUUACACCAAACCUGAUCUAGUAAUCCAGCCAAAAGUUUGGGCCAUGUAUCAGGCCCAACCAGCCUUAACCGGAUCUAGCCCAGCCCAGUAACCAACCCAAAUCAUUAACCUUAACCCAAGCCCAGACUCGGAUCCCAUCCCAGUUCCAAUGUCCCUGAGUGGGUCGGCAAGUGGGUGCGCGUCAUAGACGGCGCGUGGAGUACACACGCAUCUGCCUGAAGUAGCUUUCUCCCCGUCUACGGCGGGGCCGGCCUAUUUUCUGGCCAAUUUCAUGUUCAUCGUCGAUACGUAUUUAAACCCGAAAGGAGAAAUGAAUAGUUGCCAUUACAAAUUUUAUAUUUGUAUAAUUUUUCUAAACCCUCAAUUCAUCAACAACAAUAAGAAAAAAGGCAUUUUUACAAAAAACAAUAUCAGAAAAAAGAUCACCUAAUUCCUUUUCGUUGUAGCAUCACCAUCAAUUGGCCGCGUUCAUUUGAAAAAAAAAACCUUCAAUGACCCGCGAAACUACUAUGUAAACUAGAUCUUCCAAUAUUCUGUCCAAGGCACAUGUGCCACUGUUGAGAAUCAGCAUCCUCCUUUGUGAAAUCCAGUUCGUAAUCGGCGCGACAGGAGCAGGAGCGGGAGGAGUGGCGGCGGUAGCUGCGGCGGAGGAAGAGGUUCCUUCCUGCUGCUGGUGCUCAAGAGCGCUGAUAAUAGCUGACAUCAUUUUAAGAUCCUCCUCCAAAUUUAUGUCUCCGUUGACCCCCACCUCCAGACUUCCUAUUCUUUUGACUUCGUCAGAUAUCAGGCACCUCAGGACAUUGAGAAUGGCUUUUUCCACUAAAACCAUGUCCGAGAAGGUAGAAAUCAUGGCCAAGAAGACAGGUUUCAAUUAUUCUGAUUCGUAUCUUCCAUCAUCCUUCUCCGCCAUCAAUCUCCGCCGACACUAUUGGAUGGACCGGAUCGAAUUUAGAAUGCGUCUUGGUUGGAAUGACGACGAUUCCAUGUGUGCGAGAGCGGGAGCGGUGGAAGAGCUUGGCUCAAGAGCACUGAUAAUUGCUGACAAGGUUUCAAGAUCGUCCUCCGAACUUAAAUCUCCGCUGACCCCCACUUUCAGGCUUCCUUUUCAUUUCUUGACUUCGUCGGAUAUUAGGCUCGUCAGGACAUUGAGAAGGGCUUUGUCCAUUGAAACCAUGCCCGAGAAGGCAGGUUCCAAUUCUUUUGAUUUGUAUCUUCCAUCAUCCACCAUCAAACUGCGCCUCCAAUGUUGGAUUGACCGGAUCGAAUUGAGAAUGAGCCACGGUUGGAACGACGAUUCCAUGUGUGCGAGAGCGUUUGGAUUCUUGGCCUCUGCCGUUUCUUGAAAUCUUCUUGAAAUCGGAAGAUGACGACACUUAUGACAUGAUACGCUCUGAAAUGCACUAUGUAAUGUAGAGAUAUAUAUACUAAUUCGACAGAAGCAAGGAGGAGGGAGAGCACGUGGCCCGUGGGCCAGUCAUAAUAUUUUUCAGAUAAAAGGAGGAGGGUAUAUAUAAAUAUAAUUCGGAUUCAAGAAACUGCAUACUUACUCCCUGAUUGCAUUUUUUCUAAAUUAUUUAGUUACAAAUUACAAUAUGGUAAAACCAAAUUUAAAUCAUUCUGAGAAACAUGAAAUAACAUAAAUUAAGUAAUAAAUAGACAUUUGCAUUCAAACAAAAUACAAGGAUUGAGUCAUUUACCGACUUAAGACCCAACAAGUGCAUUGAGAAAAAGAUGUCCUAUAAAGAAGACAGAAUAAUUGUUAGCGGUCGAACCUAGUGAUUUUGAGGCAUAACAGAAAUAAUGGCAUCAUUCUUCAGUGUUUAACCUUAAUCUCAAAUACAAGAAAAUACUUAGGAAGAUCAAAUUUAACACAAGACCGUAUAUACCUGGGGUGGCAGGGGAAAAACAUAUAUUGUUAUAUGUUUAAACUGCUCACACAAUUCAGGAAAGAAUGGAUGUAUCCAUUUAGAGGCUGCACCGCCCAUUGGCCAUUGGCCAUUGCCCAACAAGUAAGUAAAUUCAUUACUUGGAAACCUGUGAUCAUGAAGCCACGCAAACAUGAACAGCCAAAGAACGUAUAUUACUUGUAGUGUUUGUGUAUUGCACAGUUCUGGUUUUUAAUGCUCUCUAGUAUAACUAGAAAUGUAUCACAUAAAAUGUAUGGGUGUUAUUGUUAAUUGUAUAAGAAUCAGUUUAACUUAACAUGAGGGAAUGGGUAAUACAUACAUUUAUGUGCACUCUUAGUCAAUGGUAAUUAAGUCCUACAACAUGAAAAAGCCUCAAUGCACAUUUUGUGGCGUAUCGGGUAUAUGUAAGCAGGGGCGGAUCCACAGUGGGGUUAAUGGGGUCACACGACCCCUUGGAAGCCAUGGAAACUACCUUAGAGACCCCUUGGAGAUGGUGGAACGACCCCUUGGAGCUGACUGGUGCGACCCCUUGGCUGCACACCAACUGUUCGACGAAAGGCUCCUCGGCGGCUGGGCAAAACGAAGACGAAGGAGAAGGCGCUGCGCGCCUGUUUUUUUUUAAAAGCAACCUGGGCAAAACGAGUGCAGUGUUCUGGAAUUUCUAAGUUUUUCAGGUUCUGUUCUUGCGACGAAAGGAGGAAGAAGAUGAGUUUCUCUCUCAUCCUUUCCUUCUCACGUGACCAUCUCAAACUUUCCCAUAAAAUUUAUUUUAUAAUUUUGUCCAAUCACAUUUGGAUAGCUAGCAUUAAGUUGACGUUUUCAAAAAGGAAAAAUGGGCUGUCAAUACCCAGGUUUAAAUUUUUAUAUUCAAGAUGGGGAAAAGCAAAGAAUAAAAAAGAAUAAAAUAUGGUCUCUGUUUGUGAGUCUCUUGCUAAUGUGAGUGAUGGAAGGUGUUUGCAAUGCUUUUCUGACCGUUGGAGGUGUUUGCAUUGCUAUCAUCAAAGCAAUGCCAGACAUUUACAAAUGUAAGCCACCCAUAUAACUUGACAGCACGUUAAGCCACGUGUGUUUGGUUAGGGGAUUUCUUUGAUGAUAGCAAUGGACGUAGUUUGGGGAUGUCUGGCAUUGCUUUCUAGUUUUUUUAUUAUGAAACCAACCAAUUCAUUACAUGAGAUUUUUAUUUUAUUUUUUGAAAAAUUAGAUAUAAUUAUUCAAAAUAUCUUAAGUUAUAUGGCAUAUAUGCUUAAUGUGUUUCUAAAUUUUAGACUUGUUAGAUAUUUUUUUUGUACGUUCAGGACCUUUGAACAAGGAUUUUGGAGUAGCUAGUCGCGCUAUCCCAAUGAAAUGACGAUAUGCAUGCCGUUUCUGUUAAAAAAAAUUUUCGCGCUACGCGCGCUAUCCUUAUUGAACUUUUACAUUGCGACCCCUUGGGGUAAGAUUCCUGGAUCCGCCACUGUAUGUAAGUCUCUACAAUUGGGUAACAUGGAUUAUAUAGGAUUGGGUUCGAUAAACUACAACAUUGAAGCAGGAAAUGGAUGUUAACUUGCAAAUGAAUUAGACACAAAGAAAACUUAUUCCUUCCACCUUGGAUGGUUUAAGGAAUUGGGAAUAGAAAAAUUAGAGAAAAUGCAGAUUGGGUGAUAAGGGUCGUCAACAAAAUUCAUUCUUUCACCUUUUUACCAGAAUCACGGGGAGACCGUCGGUGGGAUAUAUUGCGGAUGGUGGAGAGCUUCUUUCACUCCUCUCCGAUGCUAAAGGAGUUAAAUCAUAUAAAUAUUGUUCUUAUACCGACGGUAGACAAUCCAACGAAAAUGACUCAGUUUCGUCCAAUUUUAUGGCGCAUAAGGUAAUCUCGAAAGUCUUGACAAAUAGAUUGAACGUUGUUGAUAUGAUUUUUAGUAUUUGUGCAAAUACGGUUAAAAUCACUUAAAAUACUUGUUAAGAGUACAAGGUAAUUGUAGUAUAAUCGUCAUGCAAGAUCGUUCUCGACAAGAAUUAAAUGAAUAAUUUGUAUUUAAACCAACCCUUAAUUAAUUAUUUAAAAACAAAUUUAGCAAGAAUUGAGAUUUUGUAAUUUAAAAUAUUAAAAUAACAAUAAAAGAAAUCUGGAAAUUUGGGAAAAUCUUUACAAAGAGAGAAAAACGUUUUUUUAGAAUAAAAUAAUUAUGAAAAGGUUAGAGUUUAGCUGUUACCAUUAACAAUUUUUUAUGCAAUUUUAUUAAUUACUUGUGAAUUUUUACAUACAUGUUUGGAUUAUUAGGUUCUCUAAUGCAUAUUUUUCUCGUAAUGUUCAAACAAAAACGUGCAUAUUUUUCUCGUAAUGUUCAAACAAAAACGUAUAUAACAUGUAAUUCGUUUGUAAUAUUCAAAUUAAAUAUAAAAUAUGGAUUUUCUUGGGAAUUGUUAUUAGCAUUCCAAAAAUCUCAUUCUACACUUCAAACUUUCUAUAUUAGAAAAAAUAUAUAUACAUAUAAGGAGUGUAAAAUGAGAUUUUUGAAGCGCCAAUAACACUUCCCAUUUUCUUUUGGUCAUAAAUAAUUUGGAAAUUGAGAAAAAGGAAAAUUUGACCACCCAGAAAGGGAGAGGCUGCUCCCUCGUAUCCAUGUACUUGUCCACCACAAGGGACUUUCUCGGCCCGGGCCCACACCACUUGACGAAUGCGAUGACAAUUUUGAUCGAGCCCACGAAUCGUAGCCCGCCACGUAAGCAGUGCCUAUGCGGGGUAGCUAUGGUACGGAAUAACGUCCAGGUUCAAAGAACCUGAAUGGCCUCCCGUUAAUGGCUCUGUUUAUAUAAACAUCCUCAGAUUAACCUGCUAAUCAUAAAUUUUCGAAAUCACAGAGCGAAAAACAGAGGAUUCGGAUUCAAUUCAGAAAAUCGUUUUUGAAAAUGGCUCUCGCUGUUACUUCUUCUUCUUCUGCUUCGAUCUCUGGUCGCACCUUCACUCCCUCCUCAGAACCCAGAGGUACAAUUUUUUUCCUAAUUUUUUCUUAUUUCUCUUUAUUGGACUGAGAAACUGGGAAAUGUUGAUUUGGGAUGUGAAUUAACGAGUUGGGGUUUCGGAUUUUGGAAUUUUCAGCUCCGCAAUUGGGUUGCAUUCGGGUGUUUGAUCGAUCGUACGGUCAAAUUCAAAGCAAUGCCGUGACGUUUUCUCAGCGGCGGAGCUCGGUGAAGCCGGUGAAUGCGCAGCCGAAGCGGAGCGAGUCGAUUGUGCCUUCUGCAGCGACGGUUUUUGCUCCUGGUAAAGACUGAAAUUUUGUUUUAUUUUUUUUGAGAUUAUUGGGUUUUUAUGUGGGUUUUACUGAAAAUUUGAGAUUUUUGCAGAGGUGGUUGAGAAAGUAGAGGUGGAGGACUAUGCCCAAUUGGCUAAAGAGCUCGAGAAUGCUUCCCCUCUUGAGAUUAUGGACAAGGCGCUUGAGAAAUUCGGCAACGAUAUCGCCAUUGCUUUCAGGUACUCCUCCCUCUCCGAUUUGUACUUCCUUUUCCAAUGUAACGUUAUACACUAUGUGCUACUCAAUCAAAUAAUGUUUUAGUUAAGUAGGUGGUGAGGGAAUUAUGCAUUGAGGGUGGAAAUUGUUUGAAAGUAAUAAUACUCGGCUUCAAAUGCAUUUGUGUGUUUCUAAUAUGUUGUUAACGAAAAUUAAGGUUUCUCGAUGAAUUGAGCUAACUGUAAGAAGCUUUGUAUAGUUUAUGCCUUCUGAUGUGUGGAUUCAAUAGUCAGCCAUUUUAUUCUCCAUAUUAACCAACGACUCUGUGUUUGCAGUGGAGCUGAGGAUGUUGCUUUGAUCGAGUAUGCGCAUUUAACCGGUAGACCCUACAGGGUUUUCAGCUUGGAUACUGGGAGGCUGAACCCUGAAACAUAUCAAUUCUUUGAUACAGUCGAGAAGCACUAUGGCAUCCGCAUUGAAUACAUGUUUCCAGAUGCUGUUGAAGUUCAGGCAUUAGUAAGGACCAAAGGGCUGUUCUCUUUUUACGAGGAUGGGCACCAGGAGUGCUGCCGUGUGAGGAAGGUGAGACCCCUGAGGAGGGCCCUCAAGGGGCUGCGUGCCUGGAUCACCGGACAACGGAAAGAUCAAUCUCCAGGGACUAGGUCUGAAAUUCCUGUUGUCCAGGUUGACCCUGUUUUCGAGGGACUGGAUGGCGGUGCUGGCAGCCUGGUGAAGUGGAACCCAGUGGCAAAUGUUGAGGGUCAUGACAUAUGGAACUUCCUGCGUGCCAUGAAUGUACCUGUGAAUUCACUGCACUCUAAAGGGUACAUCUCGAUUGGUUGUGAGCCAUGCACAAGGUCAGUCCUACCUGGGCAACAUGAGAGAGAAGGAAGAUGGUGGUGGGAGGAUGCCAAGGCUAAGGAAUGCGGUCUUCACAAGGGCAACAUUAAACAGGAAGGAGGAGGCGAGAAUGGCAAGGCUGCACAGUCAAAUGGUGCUGCCACGGAAACUGAUAUAUUCACUUCCCAGAAUCUAGUCACCUUAAGCCGAACUGGAAUAGAAAAUUUGGCAAAACUUGAGGACCGGAAAGAACCAUGGAUUGUAGUGCUCUAUGCACCGUGGUGCCAGUUCUGCCAGGCAAUGGAAGCAUCAUACGUUGAAUUGGCUGACACGUUGGCCGGGAGCGGUGUGAAAGUAGGGAAGUUCAGAGCAGAUGGCGAGCAAAAGGAGUUUGCCCAGAAAGAGCUGCAGCUUGGAAGCUUCCCCACCAUACUUUUCUUCCCCAAACACUCUUCUCAGCCGAUCAAGUACCCAACAGAGAAAAGGGAUGUUAAUUCAUUGUUGGCUUUCGUCAAUGCCCUCCGGUAACCAACCGAAAUUUUGAAAUGUUUGCAGAAGGUAGUCCUGGUCUGGUUUUCCAGAACCACAGUCCAAGCUCCCCAUUCAUCUCCAUACCUAAACGGUGAAGUCAACAUUCGUUGGCUAACCAGCUGCGGUCGCCGAUAAAUGCUAUCGAUUCUUCGUUGAAUCUGUGUUUUUAGAAAUGUAUCUAUGUUUCUCCAAGAAUGUCUCCAAGUCCUUAGGUAUAGUGUGUUCACAGUUCCUCACAAGAGGGCUCUUGUAAUUUUCAUUUUGGUCUCCGGUGAGUGAUUUCUGAUUUGGUUUUCUUGUAGCAUUCACAUUUUUAACUGCGGCAUUCUUCGUGGUAAAAUUUAUCAACUUGUGCUUUCUCAAACUAGUUUAGUGGUAAAACACCUUUCCUCUGCCCACCCAUUUUUCAUAAUUAUGUUCAAAGGGCAUAUCUUUCUCUGUGUUACAGUUGAGAAAACCUAUAAAUUACACAUGUUGUUGGUCCAACAACAUUUACCUAAUUACAUUCCAUUUGCAGCUUAAAAACAUAAACCUUUAUGUAGGCAUUAAGAAAAACUUUAUCGUAACCGGAUGUAUGUCCCCUCUUACCACAUUCGUGCAAAGCGAGAGGAGAGGGGGCAUCUUUCCGGUUACAUAUAAGAAUGGGUAUCAGAUUCAUGUUGAAAAAUGAGGAAUGCAGGCAUACUGUUUGAUGAAGAAUGCAAUUAUAUGAAAAUGCAGAAACCUGUCGGACUGAGAGUGUUGUUUUAUCAAACUAUUGCUGGUGCGCAAAGCAAGGGAAGGCAUUUGUUUUUGGUGACCCACCCUCACCUGUACGCUGUCGUUCUACUUGUGCUCGUGACUCACUGCAGAAUAUGGUGCCGUAGAGACUCUGUAAUAUUGUAUGCUACCCAAGAAAACUCUGGAUGCUCGUCACGUUUUUGGCUGGCAAUGUCUUUUGCCCGUUUCUCCUCCACAGUACAAGCAGCACUUUCUUACAACGGAAAUGCUAAUUUGUCGAUAUUUCAAAUUAAUUCUACAUUGUUAUGUGAAAAGUUAAAAUGUAUGCUAACGUGAUUGCUAUGAAAUAUCACUACAUUAGCAUAACAUUGUAUAAUUUUAAUAGGAAGAAAAAUUUGCAUGCAAUCAUGAUUACCGGGUAGAGAUAUUUCUAACCAAUCAGAUGAUGCAAGUGAGUAGAUUAAAACAUGUAACAGAGUAUAAUAGACCUACAGUACCGCCACAUUUACGUUGCAAUUGCACUAAGUUUUUACAGUAGUUUGAGCCCAAAAAUGUCUUAUCCGAAGUGAACCACACCCUUCAGAGAGAAGCAGGAAGCCAGGCUGUGAUGCAAGAACACCAUCUCAAAGCUGCAGAAGUAACCCCACGUUUUAUAUUCUUUUUACUUUAAUUCCCAACUCUCAACUGGCAACGGGCAAGUGGCAAUCGCACAGUACCACCUCCAGAAAGUGCUUUAAAUUUUCAAGUAUUUCCCUUCAGAACAAUUUGCCUUUUGGAGGCAAACCCAACUAGAUGGCAAAAGAAUCAAAGAAAGUGCACCAACCCCCUUCAAAAACAAGGCCAUUUUGGUAAAUUACUUGAAGCCACUCACUUAAUUUCCUUGCAACAAUGCGGUAAAUCCUCAGAAGAACUCACUGAUUCACGGUAGAUCAAUUUGGGUCAACAACCAAAAACCCAGAGAAAGAAAGAAAUUAAAUUAAAUAAAACCACACCAGAAAAAAGAAGAAAUCUUUUGGAGGAUAAUGCAAGGAUCUGCAGCUGCUGAACCAGAAACAGAGGAUGAGGAAGCAGCAUUGCUCAAGCUCCUCUCCAAUGGCGGUCACUAAGCUCCUCUCCCUCUCAACCCUCCUGUUCUUCUUCCUCUUUGCAUACGAAGGUAAGCAACUUUCUCUACUAACUUUUAACAUUUUCUUGCUCGGUUUUAUUCAAUUCAAAGUUUAAAUCCAAUAGUACUUCAAAAAUCAAAGAAAUCAAGCAACUUUUUUCCCCGCUUGUGGCAUUUUCUUUCUGGGUUUUCUCCGUUAUUUCGAAAUAAUCUAGAAAGCAUUCAACUUUUUCACUAAUUGUAACAUUUGGUUGCUGGGUUUUCUUCAUUACAAAGUUUAAACCCAGCAGUCUCCAAAAACCAAGGAAGCAAGCAACUUUCUCGACCGUUUCUAACACUUAAUUGCUCGGCACUUUCAGCUGCAUCUUCUCCGCCGACAUUCGAAAGCACCAAGCUGCAAAACCAGGACCAAGAAAAUAAGCCGUUCGUUGGAGUGAACAUCGGUACCGACGUUUCGAAUCUUCUGUCUCCGUCGGAGCUCGUUUCGUUUCUGCAACUCCAGCAGAUCAACCACAUCCGCCUCUACGAUGCCGACCCGGACAUCCUCAAAGCCCUGUCUAAAACCAAGAUCCGGGUCGUCAUCAGCGUCCCAAACAACCAGCUCCUCGCCAUCGGCUCCUCCAACACCACCGCCGUUUCCUGGGUCGGCCGAAACGUCGUCGCUUACUACCCCCAAACCCUCAUCACCGGCAUUGCGGUCGGUGACGAGGUCUUAACCACCGUGCCCUCUUCAGCUCCUCUACUUCUUCCAGCAAUUCAGUCCCUUUACAGCGCUUUAGUGUCUGCAAAUUUGCAUACCCAUGUGAAAAUUUCGACCCCUCACGCCGCCUCGAUAAUUCUCGAUCCGUUUCCGCCGUCUCAGGCGUUCUUCAACCAGAGCUUAACUCAAAUUGUUUUCCCAUUACUUCAGUUCUUGUCGAAAACCGGGUCGCCGCUGAUGAUGAAUUUCUACCCUUACUAUGUGUUUAUGCAGAACAAAGGUGUGGUGCCUCUCGACAAUGCGCUGUUCAAGCCCUUAAAGCCGUCGAAAGAGAUGGUGGAUCCCAAUACUUUGCUACAUUAUACUAAUGUGUUGGAUGCUAUGAUUGAUGCUGCUUAUUUUUCCAUGAAAAACCUUAAUGUUACUGACGUCGCGGUUCUUGUUUCGGAGAGCGGGUGGCCUUCAAAGGCGGAUUCUAAGGAGCCUUAUGCUACUAUCAACAAUGCGAAUACAUACAAUUCCAAUCUUAUUAAGCAUGUUCUUGAUCGUAGCGGAACCCCUUUGCACCCCGAGACCACUUCAAGUGUGUACGUUUAUGAAUUGUUCAAUGAGGAUGUAAGGUCUCCGCCGGUGUCUGAGGCCAAUUGGGGAUUGUUUUAUGGGAAUUCGAGUGCGGUGUAUUUGCUUCAUGUAUCGGGAAGUGGGUCUUUUUUGGCAAAUGAUACAACAAACCAGACCUACUGCAUUGCCAUGGAUGGGGUUGAUGGAAAGAGUUUGCAGGCUGCAUUGGAUUGGGCAUGUGGACCGGGGCUGGCAAAUUGCUCAGAGAUUCAGCCGGGUGAAGAUUGUUACUCUCCGAAUAAUGUGAAAAGCCAUGCUUCGUAUGCAUUCAAUAGCUAUUUCCAGAAGCAAGGGAGGGCUGCCGGGUCUUGUGACUUCAAAGGUGUAGCCACCAUUACCACCACUGACCCAAGUAAGUUUUACUCCCUCUACAUUAUCCGAUUACCGUUCUAGCUUGCGUGGAUUUCUCAUUUUCCCCUUUCAUUCAAUGAUGCUGAGGGCUGAGUUCUCUCUAAAGUUUAUAGUAUAGCUUAGUUGCAGAUUAAGGAGAUUUGAGACCUUGAUUAGAAUUAGUAUGAGACUCGAUUUUGUUAGAUGACGCUGGAAUCAAACUUGUCAGCAUAGACGAUUGCAAACAAGGGAGUGGCCAAGUUGGCAAUGCGCCCUCUGUGCACCCAAAUUCGAAUUCCUGUCUUCGUAGUUUAGAUUAGACUAGAAUACACUUCCUCUACUGGGGCUCCACUCUAUCUGUAUACUUUUCUGUUGGUUAUGUAAUGCAGAUAUGAACAAUAACCUCGUUCCCUUUUCGUUUUUCCUUUUUUCAUUGGAAUAUCGCAGGUCACGGGAGCUGUAUGUUUCCCGGAAGGUAAGACUCAGGAAGCUUUCUGUUGUUGCUACAUACAGUAAAUUGGUUUUCAUUUAGCAUACAAGUUUUUCAAUGUUCUUAAAGAGGGGUGUUUUGUUUUGAGUGCAGUAAGAAGGCGAGCAACACGACGAGGCAAGUGGUGAACUCGACGAAUUCGAGUAGCGGAGUAGACAGAUUAAGAUUCGUUGCCUUCGGCAGCAGCAGAAUAAGUGCCAUCAGCGGGAUGUUAUCUGUAUUUUUUGUUGGAAUCUUCUCUAGUUUGGUAUUCAUUCCUUUUGUGACUCCAUGCUGAGGUUGAAAUAAAAUUAUUUUUUGGGGAAUAAAUUUUAUAUUUCUUUUUCAGUAUUUGGUAAUCUACUGCCGGUGAUCUUUUGUUAGAUGAACGUGUAAAACGAAGUAAACUGUCAUCUUAAAAAUUGAAUGUGGAGUGACGAAUAAUUGAACAAACGUGGAUUAAGCUAGUUGAUUAUAGCAGUGUGGCUGCCCGCUUGAACCCGAGUUUGAUUUCCACUUUCCAUAGAAUAGAAUCGUUUAGAUUAAUAUCGCUUUUUCAAUAAAUAAAAAAAAGGAGUGUAGAUUAGUAUGUAAAUCUAACAAAUGGAAAAGAAAGGGGAGGGAGGGCAAAGAAGAAAAAGUUGGAAUUUAAUAAAACAAAAAGACAAGUGCGGUGAAGGUGGAUCGAACACCUGACCUUCAGAUCUUCAGUCUGACGCUCUCCCAACUGAGCUAUCCCCGCAGAUGUCUUUUAGUCAAAUGAAAUUAACAAUUUACAGUUGUUGACUAUCAUAACCCAGCUUGCCAUUCUCUUAGAAUCCGAGCAGCUACAAUGCUUUCCAAAAUUCCAAGGAGCGCCAGUUUUCAAAUUUGGAAAUUAGGGUUCAAGGCCUCCAACAAUUACAAUGCUCUCCAAAACUCCAUGAUUUUUGCAGCUUCUGUGUCACUGACUUUCCCAAGUAAUCAUCCUCUUCUUCCCCACCGCGGCACAGUAAACCCUAGAGUAACCUGCAACUCUACUGCUCUGACCCUAAAAAUGUCUUGGGCAUGCAAAGAAUGCACCUUUCUCAACCCCCCACCGACCCCAUCUCAAAAACCCACCUGCAAAAUCUGCCUCUCUCCAUCAUCGCCGCCACCCCAAUCGCCGCCGUCUUCUUCCACUGCAAAAUGGUCGUGCAAGGCCUGCACUUUCCUCAACUCCUACAAGAACUCUAACUGCGAAGUGUGCGACACUCGGGCUCCGAUCUCCUCCCUCUCGAGUUUCGAGGAUUUGGAUGAUGAUUCGGGGAUCGGCGGCGGCGGGGACCUUGAUUCUUCGGUGGGCACUGUUUUUUUGCCUUUGCAGCGGUGCAAGAGGAAGAGGGUUGAAGACGAUCCAAUUGAGGUUAAACAGGGUUCUUCCAGUUCCAAUGCGGUUCGAGAGGUCAAGGCUUCUCAUAAUUGGAUGACUGUAUCGGUUUCCAAGGCGUCCGGUAAAGGAAUUACUGUAUCGGGUUCUUCCAAUUCCAAUGUGACUCCAGGGCUCAAGGCUUCCGAUAAGCGGGUAACUGUAAAAGGUUUGUAUUCAGUCUUCAAUCUUAGCUUUUGGUUUUAUUUUUUCAUUUGACAAGCGAUAAUCUAAACUAUUCUAAUUUGUGGGGAGGAGGAUUCAAACUUGGGUGCAAAGGGGCGAAAGUUCUUGGUUUUUAUUGGGUUUGAUUUGGUUUAAAUGAUAAAGAUGUGAACUUUUCAUUGUAAUUGAUUGCUUUUGUGAUAUCUAAAUUGGGUAGACUUAUUCUAUUGCCAUGCUGACCAUUUGCUUUUUUUUUUUUUUUUGAACAAAAUGUCAAUGAAACUUGAGAAUUAUCAUUUCUAAAUGUGUUGCACAACUAUUUGUAUAUAUAUCUCUUGCCAAAGCCACCAACUUAGGCAAAAUCCUUAGCUCAAAUGCAUGAUUCCAGAAGCAGCACAAAAGCCAUUGGCAGUACAGUACAGAGCAAUUGAUUUUAUGUAAGAAAUGGUUUUUUGCUUUAAGCACCAAGACGAAGACGGACCCUUUGGUGGGAGGGAAUAAGAACACAAGGUAGCGGAAAACUUCAAAAUAUACUGGAUUUAGGUUUAGCUAGUCUCUUAGCAGCGAACCCGUUCUAUGGUAUUUAAGACAAAAUAGCUAAAUAUUGGAGAUGCUCUUAUUGUUCUACUUCUUAUGCCUCUCUUGAGUCUUGGCUUAGAAGAUUCUGUAGUUAAGUUAUUUGUUUAUUGUAAUUUCUAUAUUAUUCCUGGUAUGUACUCUGUGAUCCACUUGCAGUUUCUCACUAUGAAUAAGUUCAAUGUUUUCAGAGGGCACUAGUUCUGGGUCUUCUGCUGCGGGUUUGAAUACGUUGAAGAUUAUGAGUUACAAUGUUUGGUUCCGAGAAGACCUAGAAAUGCACAACAGGAUGAAAGCUCUUGGUGACCUUAUCCAACAGCAUUGUCCAGAUGUCAUUUGCCUUCAGGUCCCCUCACCCUUUUAAAUUGAAUGAUCAUUUGAUUCAGCCUUCUUUCAACUUCUAUCUGAUGGAUGCUUUUUUCAUGCAGGAGGUUACCCCGAGCAUAUAUGACAUCUUUCGAAAAUCUAGCUGGUGGAAAAUGUAUCAAUGCUCAGUUUCAAGUGAGACGGCAGAUUCAAGUCCAUACUUUUGCAUGCAGGUGAAAGUUUGAUCUCUAUUUUCUAUUGUGCGUUGUUUCAAAUGCUAAAGAAUUUUUAUAUGCUGUUCUAUGAGUAUCUUCUUGUCUUAUUAUUGUCCUGUGAGUUUUUCAAGUGUGUUUUGCUGAUUUCAUGAGUUGAAUGUAUCUAUAAAUCUUUUAGUAAACAUGAUACCAUCUGACAGAUGAAUUACUGUGUAGUUAAGCAAAUUGCGAGUGAAGUCCUUCAGCUGUAAACCCUUUGGGAACAGCGUGAUGGGGAGAGAACUUUGUGUUGCUGAAGUUGAAGUUGAGAAGGACAAACAUUUGGUUGUUGCCACUAGCCAUCUCGAAAGCCCUUGCCCCGGCCCCCCAACAUGGGAUCAGAUGUUCAGUAAAGAACGUGUGGAACAGGCAAAGGAGGCUGUCAACUUUCUAAAGAAGAACCAAAAUGUGAUUUUCUGCGGUGACAUGAACUGGGAUGACAAGUUGGAUGGUAAAUUUCCUUUAACUGACAGAUGGGUUGAUGCUUGGGAAGAGUUAAAACCUGGGGAAGAUGGAUGGACAUAUGAUACCAAGUCCAACAAGAUGUUGACUGGCAAUCGGAAACUGCAGAAGCGACUAGAUCGAUUUUUGUGUAGUCUACAUGAUUUCAGGGUGAGUAAAAUUGAAAUGAUUGGGAUGGAUGCAAUACCGGGUGUAUCUUAUAUCAAGGAAAAGAAAGUGAAGACGGAGAUUAGGAAGCUGGAGCUCCCUGUUUUGCCUAGUGACCAUUAUGGCUUGCUUUUGACAAUCUGUAGCCAAUGAUGUCAUUCUGUUGACAUAAAAGAUUGCGGUUAUCCUAGGUGCAUCGGUCGUUCUUUUGUGACGGACUGGCAAAUCCUGCCAUGUAUGCGUUGCAUGGUAUUUUGAGUAUAUAUCUCGUAUGAAUAUGAUAUGGAAGUUGGAUGUUGCCUUCUCAUUUUGUAUGAAGUUCUGUGGAUGAAGGUUCAACUGCCAAACUGAAUGGCUGGUAUUUUGUUUUGUAUCUUUAGUUUCUUGCUAUGGAUAAUGACCUUCUUAUAAAUUCUCCUAUGGAUUUUUCGCAUCCUCUCAUAGCUUAAGAUGCUCGCAACGUAAAUUAAUGGCGAGAAAAAAGAAGGAUCUCGUGUCUCUACAUUUAGCAUAAGGUUAAGAUUUGUUUAAAUGUAUAUACUUGAAUGAUAAUCAAGUAACCUUGCCACAUUGUUUUCCAAUAGAAGGUUUUUGUUUAACUUGUCACAACCAACAAGUAAUAUGUAUGAAGAACAUAUUUGAGAAGCACUAGUAAGCUGUAAAACGAUUUCAUAGACCAUCUUAAUUGCGGGCAUUGUCCUUAAUCCGCGGGUGAUAAUUCAGCUCUCUGCUGUUUCCGGAGCCUCCAGUCUUAGAUAAUCAUAGAAAAGUCCACAAAGUGCAUCACCACCCCUAGCCUGUGAAAGAAAUAUGGAGUUAUCUCCCUUUACCAGGAGCGUUGAUGGGAUAUCGCCGCUGAAAAGCCGAUAGAGUCCAUGAACUCCAUGUCGACAAACUGCGUUAUCCGUCCCCAAGUUCAAAACUUGAAUCACCAGGUGUUCUAUGUCCAUAGCAUUAACAUGAACCUGCAGCACAGACAUUUUAUUUAUGUCAUCUGAGACAUUUUAUACUUUUCUCUUCUGUAACUUUUGCCAUCCAUACCUUCAGGUCCGAGCGGGUUGCUGAAGCGAUGGCCAGUCUGAACUUGUAUGUGCCGGUCGUUACAGAUUUGAGAUUGAACUUUAUUGUCCAUGUUGUUGGAAGGUAUUUAUUAUCUGCUCCCCUCCUGCAAAAUUCAAAUUACUUGUAUCAAUGCACACACUUUUUUUUUUCAUCGAGUAAAACUUGAGGAACAAACAUUUAGGUCUACGAAGAUUUAUGCUGCUUUUGUUGAAUAAUCCGCGAAGUUUCUGGUUUCCUGUUGCAUAUGAUAAGAUGAGGGAAACACCUGUCCACAUGAGCAAAAAACCAGUCGGUUUUCGGAUUACUGCUGCCUAUAGUGAAGGUCUGGUCAAAUUCAGGGUGCACAUCAGUGUAUCUGUCCCACAAGCCAUACUGUCUAUACCUGUAAUGUGAAACAUCAAGCAUGAAAUAAGGGUGGUUCAUUAAGUUUCAUUUUCGGGAAAGGAUGAAUUCACUUACUUCUCGGGGCUGUUCAGAAACAGCUUGUUCACGUAUAUUGGGUUCACAUCAGGAACAUAGUAAUCUAUGGCCGUCCUAUCAGGGUAGCCAAUCUCCCAUAAAGUUGGACCGUCUCUGAGGGGAACAUAGGUCAGGUUUCCGAGUUGUGUUUGUGAUCCUGAGUGGAAAAUAGGCCAUGUUUUCAAUUUGAUGUGUUUAGCUACCUGUAUUGAUAGAUCUAACAUUGAAAUGAAAUCCUAUGAGAAAGAAAAAGAACUGCCUCGUUUGCAGAAAGUUAGCUGCAGAAAUAUACCUGCAGAGAUUGUGAUACGUUCGUUGUCAAGGUAAUCACCUACAAAACCCGGGAUCCAGCCAUGGAGUCCGUAUACUCCAGGGAUAACAUUCUUGAUGGUGAAAUUCCCGAUGAUAUCUGUUUGUAUCCAAAACUGAUAGUCCUGCGUAGAAGUGAAAUGUCGAAUUAAGAAGGUUACUUUUGUCCCAAGUUUACAGUCUCUGGCAGUCUGAAUCGGUUAGUAAUUUACCUUGCUUUCUGUUUGCCAGGAUCCUGGAGUAGUUGCAACUGAUAGACCAACAUACGCGUAUUUAGCAGGAAUGAGAGAAUCCGAAACAUACCUGGAGUCAUGUACACAAUAAAAAAAAAUGCUACUAUUUAGCAUAGAACUGGCAAUACCAUGGAAGGGUUUGAUUAAACAGCAGACGCAAACAGUUGGUACUGACCUAUCCUGGACAAACAAUCUUCCUGAAACUGAACCACGCUCUUUAGCGGCAACAUAGUAGGGCGAUUGAACAAAAGCAUAAGGCCACAAUGUCUCUUCAAUCAGCCUCUAGGAUGAGCCAAGUACAACAUUAACCAGUUAUCAAAAGGCAACAUUUAAGGUUUUCAAUAGCAACGUUAAGCAUGGUUUGGCUAGAAUUGAUUCAGUACCUGUUUUUUCGCAUCAAUCCAUAAAUCGUGUGCCUUUGAUACAUCUGGGGUUGAGUUAAGGUAUACGAAAAAGGGGCCAAACACUUUUGUCCAAGUCUCCCCUUCUUCGAAAUGAGCUAAUAUAUCUUCGCCGAUAUAAUGAGUUCCAUGAAGCAUCUGGUGCACCAGAUAGACAAAAAAUUUAGCUGAUCCUCAACUGGAAAUGUCUUAUUAUUGAAUUUGAGUGAUAGACUUUUACAGCAAGGCAGAAUGGACCAGUGUGGACGGUAAGAUUUUGUUUCGUAGGACCGCCAUUUCGGAACUCCUGGCUGGGAAAGAUGAGCCAAAACCCUACAGUGGGGCCGGAACUUAUCCAUCCAUGGACUCCACUGUCUUUGUUGUCCAUCGAGUACUGAUACUUAUCAUCAACCUGCAUUCAAAGGCAUACAAAUAGCAGCACAAUUUGGAGUUCUGACGGAAUUCAACAUGGCAUAGAAGCAUUUUUCGCUGGUACGCAAUGAAUUAUUUUAGGUACACACCUCGCCUUUGAGAUCAGGAUUGAUGGGAUCUAAAAGCAAAACUGAUUCAGGCACGAUUAGUUGUUUGCCUCUUGGUGGAAGCACAUCCUCAGGCAUUGGCAUUAUCCUUUGUUUCUCAUCUGUUAUUGCCAUGUAGUGGAACCUAAUACAAGUUCAGUGAAUGUAAAAACAUAUAGACAAGAACCACAGACCUAGUUGUAGCCAAGUUAGUUAGAGUAGUGUGCUCUCCUUGAACUCAAAUUCGAAUCCCCUCUUUGUAGUUUAAAUUAGAAUAUCGCUCCAAUAAAAAUAACAUAAGAAAGAACCGAUGCACUUGGAAACUCUAAAUAGGAAUGGGUAGAUUUUACUUCUCUCUUCGCAGUUUAAACGCCAUCCUUGUCUGCGCAAGAUCGAAGGCAGGACAUCCAGAAGGCCGCUCAUAUAUUGCGUAAUUGUAGAAGCCUGAAACACCAGUCUUUACAAUGUACCUGAAGAAAAUUAGUGACUAUGAGUAGAAAACAAAAUAAACAUCGAAAACCUUAACAGCAUCAUACAACGAACGAAAUUAAAGAUCUGCGUUAAUGAAGUACAACCUUAUAUCCACACUUAGCGGCAAUUUGACGCCGUUAGCGGAUGAUGGAAUGAAGGUGUUCUUGAAUGAAACUUCUAAGCUGUCAUUGCUAUGAUGAACAACACUAUAUUCAGCUCCUUUGAGUCUGAAAAAUCGACAUGAUUCAGUCCAGUUCAAUAUAAAUUUAGACUGUUAAUUGCCUAUUUCUUGGGGUAAAAGGCAAGUGCAGAUAAAAUAAUGCUCAAGAAAAUAUAUCGCACGAGAGGAGAGCAAAACCAUACGGUUCAUAUCUGUUUUGGCCUCCUGGCAAACUCCAGUUGAUAUCCCAAUAUCUGCAAGUAGAAGAUUAGGCGGGAUUAGCUCUGCAAUGUCCGUUACAGAUAUUUACGAAUAUUAUCAGAUAAUCAUAUUGUUCAAAUAUACAUAUCAGAUAUUUGUAAAGGUGUUACCCUCUGCUGGUUUCAUUUGACUUGACAUCUAAAAGAUUGUCCAUUCCUCCAUAACUGAUGCCAGUUAAAUACCCUUGAGGCUUCAAGAUUGUGAGCUUUACCACCCCACUGUCCAUUACAACCUUAUAAGAAAAAUACCCAAAUUCAGAAAAAACAUAAAUAAAUAUAUAUAGGAGAGCGCGGACCGGCUUGUGACCACUCUACAUCCGAUUGAGGCACAUAGCCAACGCCCAUCCGCUUUCCUUCCGACAAUUUCAGUGUGCAUGGGAACAUGAACUUACAUAGGGACCUUGGUUCCUCAAUUUCAGUUUCAUCUUUGCCAUGGCAGGACACAGAUUAAAUUCUUCACCCUUUUCCUCUAACUUCUUAUAUUGUAUAAGAUUGUAAUACAGAAACUGGUUAUCAAUUUCUAAAUUAUGGUUGAAGAACAACCAGUCGUUGGUUACUAUGGUAUUUAAUUAAUGUUUAAUAACAAGAACAAGCAUUUCUAGAUUAUAUCACCAAAUUGGAAAAUUCCACAUAGUUGAACCAUCACGUAGUAAUGUGAGAAUAAUGCCAAUAAUGCUAAAUGAUUAUGUGUUCGUGUAGACGUAGAUUAGGUCAUGAGUCUAAUAAGAACAAUGUACAUGACUACCAAUUUCGAAAAUUAAAAUAGUUUAAAAUAUCACUGCAAACAAAAUAAAGUAUUAAUGAUGUUGCACAUGCCGCAAUGUGCUAAAGAAACCGUGUUUAAUCAUUUGGUGUUUUUAAUUUGAUUUGUCUGACUCAUCGAAACAAGGGAUUUUAAUUUGGAGGCAGAUUCUGUCCCUUCCACCUUCUGUGCCUCUGUUUGUGUGGUUACGGUUAAGUCACGUCAAUAUUUUAUAUCAUUAUUUUUUUUUGUCUUAUUAUCUCUAUAAAAAUAUAUGUAUAUAAUGUUGACAUGACUUAACUGUGAUUAUACAAAACAGGAGGGCGUGGGAAGUGGGAGGGCAGAGAAUCUGCCUCCUUUUAAUUUAUCUCUUGUCUGCAAAUGGGACUUAAAAAAGGAUAAUAUUUAAGUAAAAUAUAUUAUGCAAGUGGCCCUUUAUUAUAACGGUUUGUCUUUGCAUCACGCUAUGAGUUCGAACUCUGUUGACUUCCUAAUCUAACAAAUCUAUAAAAAAAAAGAAAAUAUAUUAUGGUAUAACAUGACAGCUCAUUUCAUUGUCUUUUAAGCUGCAGGUCCAGAACUCUAUAUAAACUACGGGUGCACGUGAUAGGGAGUAACCACAUAAAUCCAAUUCUAUUAUUUUACCCUAAUUCAGUAAAAAUAUGUAUUUAAAAAAAAAAUUCUUUAACCCUAAUUCAGUAAAAGUUUGCCCUAAAGUUUGGACAAGUUUUUUUAGUGUGACAAUCCUAGAGUUAUCACCAUACUCAUGUCAUAUACAAGUGGCGGAUGACUGUGAUAAGUAAAUUCUUUUUCUUCAACUCAUUGCUUCUUGGGUUUCAACUUUCAAACUAUUAGAAUCCUCCUCCACACUUUAUUGUAGAUUUAAUAUGCAAUAUCUCUUGCAAUAAAAAUACACUCGGGCUAUAAUAUUUAUAUUUAUUUUUAUCUUCAUGCAUAAGUUUUUGGAUAUGAUGUUCACAUUGAUAAUUGGUAUUAUCAAUCCUUUCACGCUAUAAUACAGAGAUAUGUUGAUUAACGCCAAAUCCUCGAUCAUUCAUGACAUAUAAUCUACAUUGUUAUAUUAUAAUACGUGAAUGAAUAAUACCACAUGAGGAUUUGGCACUGGACUCAACUUCAACGGUAUGACAGGUAGGGCUCACUCGAUUCAACGGUCCAUAAUUGGCGCAUCAAAAACUCAACAUUCACAAGCACCACUUCAUCUCACCAACUGACAUAAUUUUUACUUGUGACGGGAAUACAAGUGGUACACCACAUAUUUUAAUAGGAGUGGUGAAAAAUUAUAUUUUUUAAGUUAUUAAUUUUUUAGCACUCAUAUUCCACUAUAGUAACACAUGGUAUACCAACUCGUGUACCGGUAACACUAAAAAAUCUCUCCACGCAUUGGACCGAAAACCACUGACAGCUCACAAUAAGCCAUCUUCUACUGUUCUCUUGCUCGCUUACAAAAACAGAGCUAAAAGCUCUGCUCACAGAAGCACUGCCCACAGAAGCAGCACCACAUUGGUGAACAUAGAAAGAGAUUGUUUGAGAAAGAUUCACGGUUAGAUUUGGUCUUCACCAUUUCUACUUUGCAUGCUUUCUCUCUCUAUCUCUUUCUUUCUCUAGAUCUACUUUAUAAACAAAGCCACAUUCUUUCAAUAAGUUCUGGUUUUGCAGAGAAAAAUGAGAGACUGCAAGCUUCUUUCUUUUUCCAUUUUCUUGGUUCUUUUUCUCGUCAAUGGCGUCAAUGGCGAAGACCCUUAUAGAUUUUUCACUUGGAAAGUCACUUAUGGUGACAUUUACCCGCUUGGUGUUAAGCAACAGGUACAUCUUCAGCUUUUUCCAACAGUUCUUUUACUAAAUGAGGCAGAAAAGCCAUUAUCUUCAAAAGUGUUUUAUUUUUAAUUAAAAAAGUGCUUCUGCAGGGGAUCUUGAUCAAUGGGCAAUUUCCAGGGCCUCAGAUCGAUGCUGUGACAAACGAUAACUUGGUCAUCAGCGUCUUCAACUACCUACGUGAACCCUUCCUCAUUUCUUGGUAAAUAUACUCUGCUUCUGUCAUCUUAUCUCCCUAAUUUUGUUUGUUUCCUGAGAAAAUUCCUGCCCGAGAAACUGAAAGAAUAUCAUUCUGAAUCUGGGGUUCUUUUCCUUUCUCUGUUCUGGCAAAUGGGUUCUUUUGAAUAAAGCAUGUAAUUCCAAAUUUCUAAUUUCCUUUCUGUUUCCCUCCGCUUUCUCAGCUACCAAACAGAGUACCAAGAAUACAUUUUUAAGUCAAAACUUAGAAAGUUUUUGCCCAGAUCUAUGGCUUCGAAACUUUCUUAUCAGAAUAUUCUUCCACUUAAUUAUUUCACAAUGACUAAUAUCUCCUUGCAUACAUGCCAAAUAAGUAGAAAUCUCGCGUCUAUUAUGCAUGUGAAGAUGGGGUUAUUUUAGUAAGUUCAGCAAUAAAUGGUAGCUUAUGUACAGAAAAAAAAAAAACUGUUAAAAAAUAAUUAAAUUAAGCAUCUUUACGUUUUAUCUUUUUGUCGGUUUGGUUUUGUUUAAGUUAUGGCACAGACAUUCAUUGAGGAUCUGCCAUUGUUUAAGAAUGCAGAUUAAUGUUUAAAUCUCAGUUAUGAAAUUAAACCACCUCUUAACCUCUCAACCGUAUAAAAUGUGAGUUAAACCAGCUAAUUAGAUUGAUAUAAUUUUUUUCGUAAAUUAGAAUAAUUUAAAAUAGAAUAUCGCUUUAAAUUCGUUCAUAAUCUAUCCCAUGUUGCCUUCUCAAGUACAUGAGAAUAAUCAAAAUAUUAUAUUUGAGGCAACUGGCCUCGUGUGGUGAGAUCUGAUCCUUCACAUGCUUUAGAUCUCUCUCAUCCGCAGGACCACACCUACAUUUAUAUUCUAUGAACAAAGAGCUGGAAUCUAAGUUUACGCAGAUCUUGAUAGUGUAUAUUUCCGGUGUUCCUUCCAUACACUCGAGUUUGGUCAUCAUUUUCGUAAAUACCCUUAUGCUCGAGUUUAGUCGUUCUUUAUGUAAAUUAAAGUAGUACGUAACUUUGUAGUAUCGCCUUGUCAUGUCAAGAAAAAAAUAUGUGCAGACAUUGGCAUUCAAAUAAUGCAUUUACUAUUGAGCCCCACAAGCCACCAGCUACCCCCAAUCCCAAGCCAAACUAACAUUCAUGUCUAACUUUGCAUUCAGAGAGGUGGAGGUGGUUUCAGCCUCACAUUCAAUGUGUUAGAAAGAAACUGAAGCUUGGGAAGGGACUGUUAGUUGAAUGUACUAGUUAGUUUCUAUAAAAAUUAUUGUGUGGUAGUGGAAUACGAUUACAUGGUAUAACCAACUGACUGUUAUGAUAUGAGUGGAUGACAAGGUAUGAUGUUAACGAAUAUCUACGUAUACUUAAAUACCAGAUUGAUUAUACCAUGUAAUUGUAUUUGAGUAUCAGACUAGAAUUGUUCGAACUUUUGGACGGUAAAGUAACCCCUUUUAAACUUACAAAUGUUAAAUUUAUCUACGAUCAAGUUGCAUUUUAAUCGUAACCGUUGAAGUGACACAAUUUAGCUUAAAUCCGACUCUCAUGUCCUGUGAUUCUUCUGUAGGGAUGGCAUACAGCAGAGAAGGAACUCAUGGCAGGACGGAGUUUUUGGAACAACCUGCCCGAUCCCGCCGGGGAGGAACUUCACUUACAAUAUCCAAGUCAAGGAUCAGAUUGGCAGCUUUUUCUACUUUCCGUCCCUCCAGUUCCACAAAGCCGCCGGAGGGUUUGGUGGCAUCAGAAUCUGGAGCCGUCCUAAGAUUCCCGUUCCUUUCCCUACUCCUGCUGGAGACUUCACCGUGCUGGCAGGCGACUGGUUCAAGACUAAUCAUUAUGUAAUUAACCUACUAAACUCAUAUUUUGGUCACAUAAAACGUUGAAAUUCAGACUUUGAAUGUUCUGUUUUGGAAAUGUUAGAUACUGAGACGAGGCUUCUUGGAUAGAGGUCGAGCUCUUCCCAACCCUGACGGGCUUCUCAUCAAUGGUCGUGGGUGGAAUGGAUACACAUUCACCGUUGAUCAAGGUAUCCUCGAAUGAAAUUCACUUCUUCACUAACGUUAAUUAGGCUAGUUGACCAAGACAGUGUUGUAACCGUCUCGUUGAGCUUAUGAAUAAAGGCAAAUUUGCACCUCAUUGUUUGAACAAUUUGUUUUGCAGGCAAGACAUAUAGGUUUAGGAUAUCAAACGUGGGGCUUACGACAUCCAUUAACUUCAGAAUUCAAGGACACAAAAUGAAACUUGUUGAGGUGGAAGGAUCUCAUACACUGCAGAACAUGUAUGACUCCCUUGACAUCCAUCUCGGACAGUCCUUAUCCGUUUUGGUCACGGCUAAUCAGCCUGUGCAGGACUACUACGUCGUUGUGUCUUCACGCUUCACCCGCCAGGUACUCACCACAACAGCCGUUCUUCACUAUAGCAAUUCGCGUAAUGGAGUUUCGGGUCCUAUCCCUUGGGGUCCUACCACACAGAUUGCUUGGUCUGUAAGCCAAGCGAGAUCUAUAAGGUACAUUAUGAUUCUUUGCUAUAUUGUCUUUCCAAGCUAAUCAUGCAUUGUCAUGUAUUUUAACUCUGCUACAUGAUAGUGAAUGAUUAGUUUAAAAUACCAAUAAAUGGCAUUUCCGUUUCAUGGAAGAAAUUCUUCGUAUUUGUCAGGGAUUUUUCUUGGAUAUGAGAGUGGUAUCUUUUCUCACAUUGAUCAUUUCCGUGCUCUUUCGAUACAAACAGAUGGAAUUUGACUGCGAGCGGGCCAAGGCCUAAUCCGCAAGGCUCCUACCACUAUGGAUUGAUCAAACCAGCCAGGACAAUCAUGCUUGGAAACUCUGCUCCUUGGAUCAAUGGCAAGCAGAGAUAUGCUGUCAACAGUGUCUCAUAUGUUCAACCAGACACUCCUUUGAAACUUGCUGACUACUUCAACAUUCAGGGAGUUUUCAGCGUUGGAAGCAUUGCGACCAACCCCACAGGCGGAAGCGGCUACCUCCAGACCUCCGUGAUGCACGUUGAUUUCCGGGAAUACGUUGAGAUUGUGUUCCAAAAUUGGGAAGACACUGUGCAGUCAUGGCACAUUGAUGGCUAUUCAUUCUUUGUAAUGGGGUAAGAUCAUGCACAUAGUUUGGAUUUUUCUGUAAUUUCCUCAUUUCCAAGAACAGGCCUAAAUUAAAUCUUGGAUUUUUUAUGUUUAACUAAUUUUGAGAAUGGUGGGAGAAUCUGCAGGAUGGAAGGAGGACAAUGGACACCUGCAAGUAGAGCUCGUUACAAUUUGAGAGACACAGUUGCACGUUCCACAACUCAGGUAUGAGAAGUAUUGGAGAUUGAAUCAUACGUGAACAUUAUCACUUGGUGUUACAAAUUCACGUGUUAUAUAUAAUUUGGGUGCACCAGAAGAUUUUUAUACUUUAAGAUAUAGUAUGAAUUAACAUGCAUUUUUUAUAACAUAAAUUUAUUGAUUAUCUCACAAGUUACUACAUACCAAUGAAAAGUUACACCGAAUAUUGUAAUUGAAGUUAAUACUAAUGUUUGCUUAUACCAAGAUUGGGGAUGAGGAGAACGGCAAUCAUUUCAAUUCCUGACUUCUCCGAUGCUUACUAAUAUGCUUAAGGAAUAAAAAUUAUGCAAUUCCCACCUUAAAAUCACUAAUCAAACACUCUCAAAACCAGGGAUGAGAUCAUCUGUGGGAAAUAGUUGAUUUAAUUCUCAUUCCUUAUUUUCCUCUAUUUCGAAUUUCCCGAUUUUUGCUUCCAUUUUCUGAUUUCCUAUAUUCCUUAUAAGUAAAAACGCCAUAAUUAUUUCAUACAUGUAAUCCACCCCAACAUUGUUGGGUUUGUCUGAGAUAUUGGUAUUUCGGAUGCAGGUGUAUCCUAGGGCAUGGACUGCAAUCUACAUAGCAUUGGACAAUGUGGGAAUGUGGAACGUCAGGUCACAAAAUUGGGCGAGGCAGUACCUGGGGCAGCAGUUCUAUCUGAGAGUGUAUUCUCCUGCACAUUCAUGGAGAGAUGAAUACCCAAUUCCAAGAAAUGCCCUUCUUUGUGGAAGGGCGAGAGGCCGUCACACUAGGCCUCUUUGAAAUUCUGAAAUAUCCAAAACUGGUCGCCUUUUGGUCACGAGAGGGUGACAUAGUUUUAAGCUAAUUUAGGCGAGGACUAAGCGUAUUCUUGUGAGUUGUAACAGGUCACUUCACUGGGAGCUCCUCUUGAGCUUCCAGAAAUUUUCUUCUUUUUGUUCCAUAAUUAGCAUUACUAGAUGGGUUAUUUAUUUCAAUAACUCAGAGUAAUAAAGCUAUAUACAAUAUGCGUCCUAAAUUGAGAUUUAACAUAAAGGCUCAUAGCAAUGAGGGUUGGUUGAGUUGGUAGGAAUCAUUUUUUUUCGCUAGACCAAGAUCUAGGGUCAAGUCUUGUUGCUGGCAAUUCCUCUUGAUGGACAAUCUGUAAAAACCCUAAAAUGGUUACUUUUUGUUUUUGUUUUUUCCCUAAGCAAAAGAUGAGGGGAGAGAAAUGAUAGUGUUGAGGGGUACACAAACUAAAAAAAUUAUUUUCAAAUAGCUAAAAAUCAGAAUUUAAUUAUAUAUUCUUUUAAAGAGAAUUUAGCAAGGCCCUACAAACUUAGGUUUUUAUUUCAGUUUUAUCUUUUCAACUUUUAUUUGACCUUGAAUCCUCCUAGUGUUAGAGUGUGUCAAUUUGCCUUUACAUAUUCUAAUUUUUCCAUCGUAUAGAGUUCUACUUUCAUCCUAAUUUUAAAGCUAGACAACACAAUAAAAUUGAUACAUUAUAAAAAGUUAUGCGAACUAAUAACAAGAUUCAAAUUCGACAGAGCAAAUGGAAUGGAUAUCAUGAAUUCAAGGGGCAUAAUUAUUACUAAAAUUCUCCCCAUGAAAAAGAAAAGAAAGAUAACCAAAUACCAGCAUGGACGGUAAACCCUAAACCCUAAAUGCAGCAAUGCAGUAGCAUCGACACAAAAGGGUUCUGUAUUUAUACAUUUACAAAAGAAAAUUUCUUUAUUUAUUAUUUUUAAAGAAUAAAAAAAAAGAAAAAGAAGAAGAAAAAAUGGCUUUAAUUGCUUAGAAUGUCACACAACACUUAACGUCCAUGCUUCUGCGGCUCUGCCAAUGCAUGACACUGCCACAGAAACACUAUGAUGAGAGAGAGAGAGAGAGAGAGAGAGAGAGAGAGUAUUCUUCCAAAUUUGAAACCGCCUUCUCUUUCUUUUGGAUGCUGUUACUGAACGAGUACGGCCAUGGAGGCCACGUUCCAGCCAAGUCAUGAAUUUUGUUUCAGCCAUUUUGUCUGUGUUCCAAACAAAUAAAUUCAAAUAAAUAAAUUAAAGAAAUCUUUUAAUUAAUUCCAUCCAAAUUUCACAACCCUAACCCUAACUGCACUCUGCAUGCAACGCAGAUGUGCAUACAUAACCCCCAUUAAAUGACGUUUUCAUCCCCAACGUGUCCCCCUGCUAGCAAUGCCCGACAUGCGAAGCAUGUCUACGUUUCAACUUUUAAUAUUAUUUCUCCCUCUCUCUCUCUCUCUCUCUCUUCCUCCUCUCAAGCUUAUUCUUUAUUUUGUGUUCAUCUAUUUCUAUGGCGUGCUUUGGCAUUUGUGUGUGUGUGAAUGAGGUUUAGGUUCCUUCCUUUUGCUUGCGUUUUAGAAUUGAGAGACUUUGAGUCAUCCAUUAAUUAAUUAGUUGAACAAAUAUCAGUGUGACUUUGUGAAGGAGUGAAAGUCUUUGUCGGCUGGAAUUAGGGAGAGGGGGCUUGACUCAGAGUAUACUUGGUAGGAAUUUUGACCACGUUAUUAGUAUGACAUAUUUUAUUACCGUGAGAGUUAUUUAUUAAUUUUUAUUUAGCUUCACGUUAAUCUUAUUCGUUAUAUGAGUUAUUCUAAUCAGUCAGUCUCAGUAAAAUGUUUUCUCGCAUUAUCCAAUUUCACAUUAAUCUUGCCCGAUAUAAAAGUUACCCCAAAUUAAACGACCUUAUCAAAAUUUUCUAUCACUUGACUGGUGAGGAUUGAGGACGGAGUAGAGGUUUGAAAACUUAUUGGGUGGUUUGGUUGGUAUAUGUUUCCCUUUGAAGAUGCAAUUGCUUAUGUCACCCAUUAGACUCAUACAUGUAAGUUAUAACGGAUGUCUGCCAUUCCUUUGUUUUCUUGUCAACCCCGAUUUAUUUUUCUUGUUAUAACAUACGUUUGCUUUGUUGAUUCCCAUACCAUAUUGUAUUCUAUUCACAAAUUUAUAUUAUAUAUUGACUUGACUCUACUUUUUAAUCAUUUCUGUUUUAGGAUAAUACAGUAUGAUACAACAAGUGUUUUGGAAGUUUUUUUUUUUUUUUGAAGUAUUUAACCACUUGUAUUAUUACACUUUGUAUAUCGAGCCGUGUUCCUGGCACACUGAAAAAUUCCUUCUGUUUUAAAUAUAUAUUGCUGGGCAGCUCCAGAAACCUAUAAAUAAUGGUUUUCCUUGUAUUUUUACCAAGUUAUAAUGUGUAAAAAGACCCAGAGAAUGUGUUAUCUAGGUAGUUACUCAAUCAAGAAAUAUUAUAUCACCAAGAACUUUAAGAUUGAAUUAUAUUAUAUAUGGGUUUUUCACAUUUCACCUUUCAUUUUCACCCAAUCAUGAAGGCUUUGAAACAUAAAACCACAACCUGCGCAGGACUGCAAAGUCUGAAAUUCUCUGUGGGCGUAUUUUUUUUUUUCCUUUUUUCCAAUUGAGACUCCAAGGACUAAAAAUUUUGUGUCCCUUUGAGCCAGAGAAAGCUGCCACUAGAAGACACAUUUCAGUAACAGAGUCCAACUGGUCAUGUUUGUAUUCAUAUAUAUUCCCUGAGACCCCAUCUCAUAUAUAGCUAGCUCUCUCUUUCUACAACAUGAAAGAUCAGGCAAUGGAGAGGAUUGAAGGAGAUGAUCACCAUCACCAGAGCUCCUCAUUUCUUAAGAGGUCUCCCUGUUCUUCUGUUGACAAUGGUGAUCAGAAACCCCACACGUCAUCAUUUGACGACGGUGAUGGUGUUACUCCUAAUAGAAGCACAGCUCAAGGGAAGCAUCUAGUAGUCCACGGCUACCACCAUCAUUUUCCGGCCGCCGCCGGUCAUCGUCAGAUGAUCGGCAGCCUGUUGAAAUCAUCCCCGUCGUCAUCGACUCCGGUGAGACCUUAUGUUCGGUCCAGAAUGCCUCGGCUUCGUUGGACGCCUGAUCUUCACCGCUGUUUUGUGCAUGCAGUUGAAAGGCUUGGCGGAGAACAAAGUAAUUUUAGCUUCUUUCCCUACACACACGGAUAUAUAUAUAUAUAUACACACACACAUAGCCUAUAUAUAGAGUAAAGUUUUAUUAAAAUGUUAUUUUGGUGUUUAAUUAAUUACAGGAGCCACUCCAAAGAUGGUUUUACAGAUCAUGAAUGUGAAAGGCCUUAACAUAUCACACGUUAAAAGCCAUCUUCAGGUAAUUGGCGAUCUAGCUAGAUAGCUACAUCUUGUUAAGCGUAAAAAUAAUCUCUCUUGUUAAUUUGGUAUUUUCUACUUAUUUAUUUUGGAGAGGGAAUAGCUUAAUUACUUUGAAAUUUCUUUUUUCAUUCUUUCUAACGUUGAGGUUUUUGACUAUGGACAGAUGUACAGGAGUAUGAAGCAUGAGCAAGGCAUACAAGGUACACAUGUACAUACAUGCAUGCCCUCCCUCCUUUUCACUCUUGACUAAUUUUCAUAAUUAUUUUGGUCAUUUAAUUUUAUUGCACAAUAUAUAUACAUAUAUAUAUAUCUAUACAUAUAUAUUAUGUAUUAUAUAUUCCCUUCAUCAUGUAUUAUAUACAGCAACAUAAAGUAUUUUUGUAUGAGAUGUGAAUAUAUAAAUAUAUAUAGCCGAUUUACUCACAAUUUCUCUUGAUUUGUAAUUCCUAGGAAUAAUAUGUGUAAGAUUUUUCUAUGAUAAUUUGGUACCUUCAAGAAUAUUCAAAAUUCAAGAAAACCUAAUUGAUUUAAUUACAGCAUAAGUUUCUUGUCUUUUUCUCCUUCUCUAUUUUUCAUUUAAAAAAAAUGUGUAAUCAUAAAAAAUACUAUAAUUCUCAAGCUCUAGCCAAUAAUUGAAUUGACAUUUUGUUGCAGCAGCUGCUUUGGCAGCAAAGAAGAAUGGUAUGUUGCAGGUCUCUGAGUACUCAAACAACUCAAACUUCUUAAAGCCAAUCGAUAUUGCUCAACCUGUUUACCACCAAAAGAAAGACUUGAUGAAGAAAAUGUACAACCAUCGACCCUGCCAAAGCAAUGAAACUUGUUACAUUGAAGGCCUUGACAGGAACACCAGUCCUCUGGCGAAAUGGUAAUUGUAAAUUAAUUAAUUAUGUUUUAUCUCCCUAAUUAACAUUAUUAGUUAUGCGAGAUUUAUAUUCAUGAUUUUUACAGGAAGGAUGAAACGAAGCCAUUAGUACUACCCUAUCAAGCACCAAGUUCUUUCAUCGUAGACAAUGAUCUGCUCAAAAGAUGCACUGAUAAUAUUGGACAAGUACUCUCUCUCUCCCCCUCCUAUGACAUUCUGGCUCUGAACAGUCCUUUAAUAUUCCAUUCCAUAUAUAUGUCUGAAUUUUCAGGAGAGCAAUCAUAAAGAAUUGGAAGAUUUAGGCAGUACCAAAAGCGAAUAUGAUGCAAGAAUGUCUCUAUCAGUCAACGCGUCAUCAUCGAAAGCCUCUCGUGAGCUGUUGAGGUUCAGCAAAGCAGCUGGGAAUUCAGAUGCGAAUGAUGUCUCUCUUGAGCUCACUCUUGGUACUUAAAAUCAUCAUGCACAUUUUUAUGCAGACAAUGUAGAAACUUGAAAAAAAAGUGACUCUAGAGUUAAUUAGUACCUCUUUUUCAGUAUUCUCCUCCAAUAUAUGCUUCAUGUGCAAUUAGAUUAAUGACCGGAUACCUUAAAUUGACACUAGCACUAACAUUUAACUGUACGAAAUGGAGUGAGUGAAAGGCAUGAGUGGCUAAUAACCUAAUUAGUCACUUAUAUGCUUUUAUGCACCUUAUUUUGUACAACUAAUAUCAGUAGUUAUUGUGUCAAUUUUUUUUGUAGUGUAGUGAUCCACAAAUAGUUCUGUGCAAACAACAUGACUUGAAAAUUUUCAUUACAAAUUAACAUCACAAAACAUGCAAUGUCAAUGGUGUGAUUUUACAUUUGACUUUCAAACCACGCGUGAUACAAAUUCAAUAACCUCUCUCAACUACAUUAGGGAUAAUAGACGUUAGAAAUGGAAAGAAAACAUCCAAUUCUCAUGCAAACACACAAACAAUACGUGGGGUUGUUGUGUUGUUGAUAAACCAAAAAUAUAGGUUACUCACGUACAUGAAGUGGAUCUCCCUAAUUUCAACCUUCAUCUUCUCUAGUCUUGUUCUUCAACCUAUAAAUUCAGUCGCCCAACCUGAAGUGGAAUGUCCCAAAUCGAAUACACACAAAUCUUUAGCUUACUUAUUACUCCUCACCUAAGAACUAAUAGCUUGAGAUCAUGGCUGCUACUAAGGUUUUGAUCAUGUUGGUGCUUUUGGGUGCUCUAGCUACACUUAGUAGCACCACGGAGGCUGGGAGGGACGUUGCAAUGAACAACAAGGGUGGCGUCGGCGGUGCAUUUAAAUUAGAUGAUGAAAAGACGUAUGCAUUUUUCCAUCACAAGUUUCCUGGUUAUGGAUAUCCAUAUGGUAAAGGAUUUGGUUUUGGUGGUGGGUUCGGAAGUGGAGUAGGAGUAGGCUAUGGUGACGGCGUUGGUGUAGGUACCGGAGCUGCAUCGGGGGCUGAAUCCGGAGCUGGAGCUGGGGCUGGAGCUGGAGCUGGAACGGGGGUGGUUGAAGGGCAAGGAGCUGAUGGUGGAUCGCCUUGAGUAUACUAUGUAUACAUGGUUGGUGUACUAGAUAUGGAAUAAUUAAUUAAGUUACCCAAUUUGAAUUUUCCCUGUUUUGUUCUUAAUUUUUGUUUUGUUAUGGCAAUAUUAAAUGAGAUUGAUCUUGGAGUUGCACAAAACAUACACUUGUUUACACUCUUUAAUAUAAGUCCUUGCUAUUGUAUGUGAGACUUUGUAUUAGAGAAUCACAAUGUUUAAUGAGGUUGCAAUUUUUUUUCACAUCACACCAUGAGCUUUCAAAAUUAUAUUAACUCAUAUCUACAUGUUGUACAAUUGUCUAAUUCGUCGUAAAAUUGAUGACUGACUAGCAUUGCAUGUAAUUUCUUUAUGAGUUGACAUAGAAGCUACACUUAUAGCAUAAAACUAAAUGACUUGUGGAGUUUUGGCCUCUCAUCUCCACCCCAAAACGACAACUAUUCAUCAAUUUCUAUCUCCAUUGAAACCUACGCCUCUUAGAAACAAGUAACCCAAUUACCACAUCAUCAAUUAAAUGCUGAUUCAUAUGGUUAAAUAAAGAAAACAUAAAUUGAUACGAUUUGAAAACACGGUGCAUUUGAAGAAAAGUAAAAUCUCUCAUUUAGAAAAUCAUCUAAAACGUAAGGAGUCACAAGUUGACCACUUCUAUUACCUUUUACAUUCUUAUUGUAAUUAAGUUUCCUAAAACAAAGCAUUAGUCCAAAAUCAACAUUGCGUGUCAUGGACAAGGUUCUAAAAAACGCUAGGCGCUAGUCAGGCGCCUAGGCCGCCUAGGCGGAUUUAGGUAAAUUUCUUGUAUAUCUUGUAAAUAAGUGCAUAUUGACACCUAAAAAAAAACUAUAUUUGUAUGGAUAAUAAAAUAAUGAUAAAAUACAAAUUAGGUACACUAGGGCCGCCUAGGACAGCCUAGCCCUAGGACCGCCUAGGACAGCUAAAAUACAAAUUAGGCGGUCCUAGGCUGUCCUAGGCGGCCCUAGGCAGUCCUAGGCGGCCCUAAAUUAAGUUUCCAUAAGUAUUGAAUGAACUUGUAGUAAAUCCAUCAUUUGCAAAUUAGAUACACAAUUUCCAUAAGUAUAUCAUCAUGAAACCAAAAAAGAAAAAAGCACGCAAUUAAUAAAAAAUUAAAAAAAAAAAACCUCCUAGGACCGCCUAGGACUGCCUAGGGCCGCCUAGGAUAGCCUAGCCACCUAGCCCGCCUAGCUGCCCAGCCCGCCUAGCCCGCCUAGGCCCAACCCGAUUUUUCCUCGCGAUUUGCCCAAAAACGCCUCGGUUGCUAGGCGCUCAGUGCCUAGGCAGCCGCCUAGGGCGUUUUUUAGAACACUGGUCAUGGAUCCUAAGUUUACAUGAACACAACAGGAAUACAAAACGGGCAAAACCGAAUCCGACCCACAGAGUGAGUGAAGAAAGCGAUAUGAUCAUAGAAUACAAGGGGAUUGGGGUUUAUUUUGUCAAGUUGUGCUAUCACCACUCACUAACGAUGGCGUGCUGUCUCGAUUUCGAUUAGGAAGGGAAAACCCUCCUCCACCCACUACAUACAUACCCUCCCACCAACCCUUUUCAUUUUUUCUUUUUUCCUUUAUAUUUUAAUUUCUCUGUCUGUGACUAUCUCGUACUUGCACUCAGAAAUAUAAAAAGGCCACCAUUUUCUGAGUUUGGUAUGCUCUUUUGGGCUCUCAGUCUCAGAUUUGCUUGUUUCUGAAGAACUACAGAUAACACAGAAGAUAACCCAUCUGAGCAUGUGAGUUUCUUGUUCUCUCUCUCUCUUCAUGUUCUGUAAUUGCAUCUCAUUGGGUAUGUUUUUCUGGGAAUGUUUUAUUGGAUGCCUCUCUCUCUCUCUCUCUCUCUCUCUCUCUCUCUCUCUCUCUCUCUGCAGAUUAGAUAAUGUGAGAUUAGGAGAUCUGUGUGAGAUUCAAUUGUCUUAUUGUUCUUGUAAUAGAAUCUGAUUGAUUUCUAGCAUUUUUUUCAGUGGUUUAAAACUUGUUAUGUUGCCUUGGUGGAUUCUCAAAUGCAAAGUUUAAAAAUUGUAUUGUAAAGAGACCUGCUUGAUCAAUUCCUCUGUGUUUUUAUACCAUUUGGAUGACUUUCGACUUCGAGGUUUAAAAAUUUGGUACGUAAGGGUAAUGUCUCGAUGCAACCACACUAACAAAACUUGUAUGAAAUGCAAUGCAAUGCAACAUUUUCGAUCGAUUUAUCUCCGGUUACUUUCUUCGUCACAGCAACUAAUGACAACAAAGGCUAACCGAGUGGUGAUUAUUGUUGUUUUUGAGUUAUGGGGGUUGGCUUGAACUUUUGGUGCCCGUUUAGAAUAUGUUCGGUUUGCAGGACAAGUUAUGGAGGCAUAUCAUUUCUAGUAAAGCAGACCUAUCUCGAGUUUGUAACACGAAGCUAAAGUCACUGAGAUUGAUUAUGUGUCUCAGAUAUUUCUGCUAAGAUGAGAGGAGCAAGUUUGUGGCAGCUUGGCCAGUCAAUCACCCGGCGUAUUGCUCAGGGUGAUAAGAAGGCUGUAGCUCGUCGAUACUUUGCCUCAGAAGCUGAGCUAAAAAAGACAGUCCUCUAUGACUUCCAUGUUGCAAAUGGCGGUAAGAUGGUGCCUUUCGCUGGAUGGGGAAUGCCUAUUCAGUACAAGGACUCAAUCAUCGAUUCCACCAUAAACUGCAGGCAGAAUGGUAGUCUGUUUGAUGUCUCCCAUAUGUGUGGGCUGAGCCUUAAGGGGAAGGAUUCCAUAUCUUUCCUUGAAAAGCUUGUCAUUGCUGAUGUUGCUUCGCUUGCCCCUGGAACGGGGACACUCACUGUCUUUACAAAUGAGAAGGGAGGGGCAAUUGAUGACUCCGUGAUUACCAAGGUUACUGACGACCACAUAUACCUGGUGGUGAAUGCUGGAUGUAGGGAUAAAGAUCUUGCUCACAUUGAAGAGCAUAUGAAGGCAUUCAAGGCUAAAGGGGGAGAUGUCUCGUGGCACAUCCAUGAUGAGAGAUCUCUUCUAGCUCUCCAGGUCAAUCCUUUGAUUCAAAUAUUCACUCAUCUUUGUUGAUUCAUAUUGUUAUUGUACUGAAUCUGCCAUAUACUCGUGUUUUCAAGAUAUUCACUUGCCCAUUUGAUAGAACUGGCGUGUGUGAUUGCGGUGUUGCAUACUGCAAAUUUGUCUGAUUCAACUGCAUUUGAAUUUGUAAUUGUCUGAUUCAUUUACUGCUCCUUUUCUCCUACAUAAAAAAAAAUUCAGUUUCAAAGAAAUUCAAGCUGCAAUUAGAAGAUAGGUUGUUUAGUUCAAUUGAAACUUAUUUGUGUUGAUUUGACCAAUAAUUCGAUCAGUUAAAACUGCUGCAGUUACGAUAAUGAAGUAGGCUCACAAUUGGACACAGUUUGAUUUUGAUUCAAUAGCUGAUCAAAAUAUUACUUGAGAGUAACACUAGGAGUUUUUUUUCUCUUUUUUCGAGCAGGGUCCUCUUGCUGCCCCAACCCUUCAACACUUGACAAAAGAGGAUUUGAGCAAGUUAUAUUUUGGAGAGUUCCGAAUUUUGGAUAUCAAUGGUGCACACUGCUUUCUUACAAGGACUGGGUAUGUUUCCUCCCAUCUCUUUUGUGGUUUUUUCCAAAGCAAGCAAUUUACUUUGCACAGUGUGGGGAUUAUUGCAACGUUGCCGUCUGCGAAUUCAGCUGAUGACCCUUGGUUUAUAUCAUUUUAUGGUUUUUUGUGGGUGCUCAGACUCUAGUUAGUCAUUUCUCUUUGCCUCGUAUGCAUUCAUGUAAUUGUUAAGAAAAUGAUUGAAGAUGAUGAGUGAAGCAAUUUUAUUCUGUUAUGUGCUCUUCUUUGGUGAUACAAGAAUUUGCCAUUUCAACUGCCUUAUUGGAGUGAGCGUGAUUGACAUUGGAUUGCACUUUUCACUGAGAAUUUUAGGUACACCGGUGAAGAUGGAUUUGAAAUCUCGGUUCCUGAUGAGAAUGCAGUGGAUCUUGCCAAGGCAAUCUUGGAGAAAUCCGAGGGGAAGGUGAGGCUGACAGGUCUGGGUGCUCGUGACAGUCUCCGACUGGAAGCUGGGUUGUGUUUAUAUGGCAAUGACAUGGAGCAACACACAACACCUGUGGAGGCUGGACUCACAUGGGCCAUAGGGAAGAGAAGAAGGGCAGAGGGCGGCUUUCUUGGCGCUGAGGUAAUACUCAAGCAACUCGAGGAAGGUCCUAAAAUCCGGCGUGCUGGUUUCAUCUCAUCAGGUCCACCUGCUAGAAGCCACAGCGAGAUUCAGAACGAGAAAGGUGAAACCAUUGGGGAAGUCACAAGUGGAGGAUUUAGCCCCUGCCUGAAGAAAAACAUAGCGAUGGGUUACGUGAAGUCUGGAUCACACAAGGCCGGAACCAAAGUUAAGAUCAUUGUCCGAGGAAAGGCUUAUGAUGGAGCUGUCACGAAAAUGCCUUUCGUACCUACAAAAUACUACAAGCCAACAUAAUUCAAGCGUGGUACAUCAUCAACGGGUUUCUAUUCGGUUUCCCUUUUGAUUUCUUGAUAAAACUUGACUGUUUCUGUCAAUGCCAAUUUCCAUUUUCCACUUGCUUAUGAAUCUGGAGUGAAAUGGAAUACAUUUUUAUCUUCAAGGUAACAUAUUUACAUGGUAGAUUCUUCAAAUCGAGAUCCUCUCUGGAUCUCGCAGUCCAGAGGCUCCUAUUAGGCCAUCUUACUAACUCACCUCACACAAACCAAGAAUUCGAAUCUCACUCUCUUUCUUGGAUGGUUCGAAUUAUUUGGUCCGUUGGCUCCGGACUGCGAGGUCCGGAGAAGAUGUGAAUUCAGGUUCUUCUUGCCGACUUGGAUGAACUUUUACUGUAGUUAUUGAAUGUUGCACAUAAAAAAUUAACGUAAAGAUACUAUUUUUUUACUUUGACCAAAAGAUAACAUAAUGAACUGUGAGAUUAUAUUGACCAGAAUGUCGCUUAUCAAAGUCAACCAAUCAAAGGUAAGGCAGUGCCCCAAAGUCAACAUUUCAGGUCAAUCUAAGCCGUCUAAUCUAGGCAGUUUUCUGGUAAGCAUGAUCAGAACUCAGAACGUCCUCCCCCAACUAGGGCAUGAAAAUUAUGUUUAAAAAGUCAAUAACACUAAUUAAGCGCAAAGCUGGGUUGUUUGACGCCAAAUAAAGCCUAAUUAGACGAAUUAAGAAACAAAUUGUAGUGUGAAAAUUUGAGUGUUUACAUUAGAUUUUGUAUGUUACACCAUUGUACAAAGAAUCAAAUGAAUUGCUAAAUUCUAAAGUAACUAAAAGAAUCAAAGAAUUUUUCCUUUCUUUCUGUUUGUACAAAAUCUGAUGAACUACUUAGAAAAGCUUGCAACCGAAUUCGUCUAUUGGUUCUCCGUUCGAACGAUACAAAGCUGAUUUCGAUGCAAGUUCUCUGAGUUGCUCCAAGCUUCUUCCCAACUGCAUUGCAACCUUCAUUUCGAAAAUCCCCCCAUUUUCUCUCUUCUCCAAGUCUUGUUCUCCAAGUGUUGCUUCAAUUGAAUCUUCCAACUUGUUAAAGAAGCCGGCGCAGUUUCUAUACAUCUCAAAUACCAUCCCUACUUGCGCGCCAUGCUGAAAAGCAUUCACUAUGCUAGCCAACGAGCCUGCAGCCACUGCUGCAACCGCGGCAGUGGCUGAUCCAUGGCCUACAAAAGCGGAUCCAACAGCCGCAAUCCCAGUAAGCACAGGGCCCGAAACUGCCAAAAUCUUGUUGAUCUUUAGAACCAAGCUCCCUAAUCUCUCAUAGUCUUCAAUGUCCUUGCUCUUCACAACUUGAAUAAUUUCUCUCAUUUCACUUUCAAGUUCUUCACUCCAUCCAUUCACAUUCUUUCCCUUCUGGGAUUUCAGUUUCCUUGGAUUUUGGGAUUGAACAACAUUUCUAGGCCACCAAACAGCCGGCUCAAAUUUUUUGGGGAAUUUUUCGAGCAUGGCACCAAGUAACGGAAGAGGGUAAGCUUUGUCAAGAGCCAAAACCUUCUCCAUUGUCUCCUUCACAUCUUUCUCAGUAGGAUCACGAAGAGCAAACACCGUCUCAAUUUCACUCUGGAGCUGCCUGAACAACCUCGUAGCGUUGCGCUGCUCCUCGGCGAGCUGCGAAGGCUGGAUCUUGUUCAUGAUAAGCAGCAUUCCGGUGGCUGCGGAAAACAAAAUAGCCGAUGAAAUGUUCAAUGCCAAAACGGACGUUCCAGCAGCUGCAUUAACUCCGGCCAUGAGGGAAGCGGAGAGAGUGAUCAUGUUGAUAGAGCUAAGUAAGAGUGCGUUCCAGUUAUUGCGCUGCUCGCCAAUGUUUGCGUGCAUCUCCACUCUGUCCGCCACCGCCUCUAAGAGCGCGUAGAGCUGAGCUGUGGAAACUGUAGGAGUUGCUGUUGCUGCAGACUGAUUGUUAUUAUACAAAUCGAUGUUUUCGUGUUUCAGAACUUGUUCCUUCAACUGGAGGCCUUCGAGGACGAGCUUCGUCGUUUGUUUGGGGACAGUGAAGCGGACUCUUGGGAGCUUGGGGACAUGAAUGGCGGCAUUUAUGGUUCUGUUUGAGGAAGAACAACAUGAGGGAGAAGAGAAGAGGAGAGAUGAAGUUUGGAGGGAAGCCAUUUGAUUGGUUGGGGUGCUGUGUUUUGUUAAAGUGUUGAGACCAGAUGAUCUGAGGUGGGUUUUCAGUUCGGAGGAGGAGGAGGAGAGGAGAGAGUUGGGAAUGGAGGAAGAGGGUGAGAUGUGGUGGGUAUAUAUAUGGAGAGAGCCGAAAAGCGAAGAAGGGGUCAGAUUUGGAAAUUAUUGACUGGACUUGGCUUAUUGGCUGACCUGUUAGCUGCAGCGUGACCCAUUCCCUUAUUUUUUAAUUUUCCUCGUCAAAAUUUGGUCCACUAUUUUGCAUUGCCUUCACUCGUUAUCUCUCUCUCAUUUCAUGCAAACAUGUAAGUACGUAUUAGCAUAGGUAAGAAUUUCAAACACGAUACGUUACACGACUUAAAAUUUAUACUAAUAUCACAUGAUUAACAUUGUUGUGUCAAUUGUUAAAUUAUUGUACAAGACACUUGUAUGUCGUCAAUAUAUAAUGUAUUAUUGAUAUCAUGUCUAUAUUGCAGGACAAAAAAUAACAAUCAAUGAACAAAGUUCAAUAAAUUGGUGCCAUGUGAGAUAUGAAAUGAAAGUUCACGAAAGAAAGUAAUACAAUUACAACAGCAGAGAGUAGCAUGACAUUGUGUUAUUAUGUUUUUUAUUUUAUUUUAUUUUAUGGUAUUUUACAUAUCAAUAAACAUGUGGAUUAACACAUAAUAUAAAGGAGUAAACCAAAACAUCGACAAUACCUGUGUUCACCACUAAUUAAUUUAUAUUUGAAUAGACCGAUAGCAUACGUAAUUAACAAUUUGGUUUUAUUAAUCUAAAGUCCAACGUACAAGUUUCUGACCUCUAAUUUGAAGUGGUCCGUCUUCACCUGCAUGCUAUUUUUUGGGUGGACCGAGUGUCCCCUCCCAACUACUAGUUUUCAAACCUCAACUAUAUAUUUUACGGAUAUUCUAGUUUUAUAAUUGGCGUAUUUUUCUUUCUGUUUUUCUUUAUUUAAUUUGUCACUUAAACAAUCCAUAGUGGAGUGGUGGCCUCUAUUAUAUUGUAACUAGAUCCUCUCCGGACCCUCGGAUCAAUAAUCUUAAACCGUUCAGGUAAAACUGUGCGGCUCAAAGUGAAUACCUCACCCACGCCAUCGUGAUCGAAUACCAAGAUAGGCACGUACUAUAUGAAGGUGGACAUGUACAUAUAAGACACACUAUCCCUUCUCGGUUGGUCGAUGUGAGAUGUUACAUCAUCCUUGUGCUCUUUCCCUUGUCUCAGAAAACCUCCAUGAAAAUCUUUCAAGUUUUCUGAUUUACUGUCCCAAUAUAUUGGGAACUAGAUUUUACUCAAAAGAAAAAAGAGAGAUGCGUAGAGGCCUGAAGCUUCAUAGAAAUCCAGAUCUGAUGACGGUAAUGUGUGGAGAAGGAGAUAGCGACGGAGGGAGAGAGUAGUUGUUGUGGGAGUUUGGCAUGUUUCUUUUGCUCUGGAUGCUCCAGAGAAAACUGGAUUUACGUCCCUAUUAUAUUAGCUCAUUAAUACUUCAUGCACAUAUUUCUUGGAUAAUUAUUGUGCUUUUUUAGACCCGUUUUGCUAUCAUUUUCAAGACAGUUAAUGACCGUCAUCUUGUAAGUAAUAGUACAUUAAUAUUUGACAAAAAAAUGUCAAAUUCAACGAAACAAAAUAUCGUCAAUAUUAUGCGAUGAAGAAGUUUAAUAGCUCAAAUGUAAAAUGUUUGUUUAUUUUAUUUUUGGUUCACAUUCCGUCCACCGUUGCAAUUGAUUCACUCUCACUCAUGCAAUAUUUGAAUAAUUAUCUACCCUUUGUUUUGGUCAAUUUCAGAAUUUUACAUGCAAUUUGAAGAGAUCUCUCUUCGUUACUUGAUUUUUCUCGGUCAAUAUUAAUAAACUUGCAAUUUGAAGAGGUCUCCCAGUCACUAGUUUUCAAACCUCAACGGAUUGGAUUCUAAUUUUUUAAACGCAAUCUUUCUUCUUCUGUUUUUCCUUAAUUAUUAUUAUUUUUUGGUCAAAACUUGCGCUAAUCUCAUUUCCUUCACUUGAAUUGAAUCGGUAGUGGAGCUGUGGCUUAACUUACCAUUUCAUGCUUUGAGUUUAUUAACUCAUGAAUGUUUUUAUCUACAAAUUACGGUCUCCUAUAUAUACAAAAGUAAUUUACUAAAAUUUAUAUAUUAUAUUUAGAGAACUCUUUUUUUAUCAAUUAAAAGAGAAUGAAAACAUAAUUUAAUCUCGUUUCGGGCUCAAUUUCUGUGACACUGGUGAAUCGCACGAUGGUGAACAGAAGAGGCUGAAAUGUCUUUGUGAGUUUUUUCGGUCUCUGAAAGGGAAACUGCUGUGAUGAAGCCACCAACUAAAUUUUUUUUUUAAAAAAAAAAAAACAUAAUUUAAUCCCAUGUACAUAAUGAAUAAAAAUAUCAAAAAAGAAACAUUAAGAUAAUUUUACACAAACACAACUGGUCUCACACAAAUUUUCCGCAUGAUAGAAGUUUAAAAAAAAUUGAAAUACGAAGUAAACAAAAAAAAAUAUUAUAAUAUUUCACCUUGAAAUUGAGUAACAUAUAUAUAUAAAUAAAGAAUUAUAUUUAUUAUAAUUUAACAAAAGAUAAUAAAAAAAUAUUGAUAUGAAUAAUCAACGGACCUAACCCAACAGAAAAUUGACUAAACCCAAUCAUUCCUCUCAAAAUUGGAAAUUUGUAACGAAGAAAUUCUGAUGGGGUCGAUUGCAAAGAAGGGGUUGCAGCAGUACUUGCUUCAACUUCAGCAUCAUCCGCUCAGAACCAAGGUCAAAUUCUAUGCCUUUUAUCAAAUUAUCAGUCUCACUUUUUUUCUGGGAUAUCUUGAUUUCCUCUGUUUUCUAUCUUAAACCCCUGUUUGGCUCCCGAGAAAGUUGAGGAAGCCCCCAAAGACUGAAUUUUUUUUGUACGUUUAGAUUGCUUUCUCAUCUGGGUUUUAUCAAAGAUGCUGUAUUUUCAGCUCAUAUCCCUUAAUUGUGAUUAGUAGUUAAUUGGUUUUUCGAGCUGAAUAAUAUGAGUGUAACAAGUUGUUAAUUGGGAAUUUUUGGUGAUCUUCAUAUUGUUUGUUAUCUGAACAGGCAAUUACUGCGGGGGUUUUGUCAGCGAUCAGUGACAUAGUGUCGCAGAAGCUCACCGGCAUUCAGAAACUUCAGAUAAGACGGCUCCUUCUCAAAGUGGUAAGGUCCAUUAGGAUUCCAUAUCGCCGAUUUUAUGAAAGUUUGUAUCUUUGAUCUGGGUAUUUGUGCAUACUGUAUAUGAAAGAAAAAGGGAUUUUCAAAAGUAGCAAAGUUGGUUUAAACUCGUUGUUCGAUCAUUUGAACCUAAUUUUAUGCUUUUGUCGAAAAAUAUGUCUUCUAGCAUUUGCUAUGAUAUUGAAGUGUUUUGUAGAUUCACUUUCUCACAGACGUUCGAUCAUACAUUCUAUUUGAGAUACCUUGUCAAACUAAUUUCAUAAGCACUACAAUAUUGUUUGGUACCGAAAUUUAGAUGAAAGUUUGGAAUUUUUGUUCCCCUCUCAUUUAAUGUUUGAGUAGGGCAUGAUGGUUAAAGCCUCUUAACAUGAGAAAAUGCAAAAUAUGCAGCAUUACUGUCGGAGAUGAUGGUUAAAAUCUAUUUUGCAGCCGUAAUUACAAUUAUUUCCAGGUGAUAAUAUAGUUUGUUGUUGUCUGUAAGAAGUUUGGUUCGAUGAAAUUGUAAAUCUGCUAAGAUGUUUUAAUGUGUAUAACUACUGUGGCAUAUAUUUUACAUGUAUAACAUUUCUAAAUGCAGCUUCUAGGAGCUGUUUAUCUUGGACCAUUUGGGCAUUUCCUGCAUACCAUACUAGAUAAGAUUUUCAAGGGGAAGAAGGAUUCAAAAACAGUAGCAAAGAAGGUAGGCUAUACUUUCCUUCAUGCUCCCAUUUUCCAUUCCCCCGCCUCCACGAAAAAAGUGGAAGAACGUUUUGGUCAUUCUAAUAUUCCUGAUGAAAUUAUUAUUUCAGGUGCUGGUGGAACAGCUGACGGCUUCUCCCUGGAAUAACUUGGUUUUCAUGCUUUACUAUGGGUUGGUUGUGGAGGGUAAGUAUAUGUGAAAACCUUCGAUCUCAACAUUUUGUUUAUGUUUUAAAUGUUGCCAUGUGAAAAAUACAGUUGGAAUGCAGCAGUACCUAUGUGCCCUUAAGAUUUGUUUGUUUAAGAUCUAAAGUUGUAGUAUUUAAAUAUUAGUCAAUCAAACAGCUCUUAAAUUUUCAAAGAAAGCAGCCUGUAAGAGGCACACUAGCAUGUGGGACAGAUACGAGUGUUUAGCGGAAGUUAGUGUGACAGAUGGUGUGAACGUUGUUGCUUAAUUGUCUAAUGGAGAUGUGAAAAACAGGAAGACCUUGGAUGCAAGUGAAAAGUAAAAUCAAGACGGACUACCCAAAGGUUCAAUACACAUCGUGGACGGUAUAGUUCUCUUCCUGUUAUGAUUUAUACUAUUACUAUGACAUACGACAAUGUAAAACCAUUCAUAAUCGUAAAAUCUUACAUGGUUGGAAAUGCAGUUCUGGCCUGUUCUGGGGUGGAUAAAUCACCAGUAUGUGCCACUGCACCUCCGUGUCAUCUUCCACAGCUUGGUCGCUUUUGGCUGGUACAUACUAUAAACUUAAACCUCCUUUUUGCUCUAUGAUAUACAUUUAAUUCAUUCUUCUUGAUUCGUUAACAAACUGCCUUGUACUUUCCUUUUUUUUUUUUUCAGGGGAAUUUUCCUAAACUUGCAGGCAAGAUCUGUGGCCUUACCAAAAGCCUAGUGAAACCGAUGAAAUUUUUCGAUUGGCCUCAGAUGAUUUGUUGCCCCCAUUGAGUUAUUCUAGUUAGCUCACAGAUGAUCUCUCUUGAACAAUUAUGAACUCCAAAUACUAGAUGUAAGUCAUGGAUUCCCUUUUUCUUGUAUGCUGGAUGUUGUAGAAAAUAUUCUCAAUGAAUAAAACGAGUGAUCUGUUUUCAUUAUUUUUUGCCAAACGAGUGUAAAUUGGCAUGUUACAAAUCAAAGAGGUUUGUCGUACAGUCUAACUGGAAUGACAGUGUGAUUAGAGGUGGCAAAUCAACUCAUUGAGUUGCUAAUAGGUACCCAUCAAGACCCAGUUAAUUUGACGUCACCAUAAUAUAGAAGUGAGAUUGGUAGUGGUGAAGAGUGUAAGGUGAAAUCAAACUAAAUGAGUUUUAAUAGGUACCCAUUAACAAUUAAAUUGGUUGAUUUGUCACCUCUAACUGUGACAAUAUCUCAAGUUAAUUACUCAAUGUUAUAUAAAAACGUUCAUGAAAUUGUGAUUGGCUUGAGAUAGUGACACAGUGGAUGCACGUUUCAUAUAAACUGCCUACGAUUCCAAAUCUAAGCAUUAUUUUGCUUACCGUGUUGGUGUUGGAGACCACACUUUGCAUCAUUGCAUUGCAUGUGAAUGAGAUAGCGCAAAGCUCUCGGAGCGAGGGGACAAGAAAUAUAUAAAACAAGCUUGGAGAUUGGAGGGCAAAUGACUCAGUCUCUAAUGUUCUUUAAAUAAUAUUAAUCUAACAUAUUGGCGAUCUCACCUUCAAUUAAGGGUUGAAUGUUGCACCGAGUCACUGACCGUGAUGCUCGUGGUCAAAUCGGGUUUCCAUUAUAUUAUGAUAAGUGUUAGGUUUGAAUAUCGUAAAUAGCAAAUUCGAUAUCAAUUUAUUCUCCUAUAUUUUAGAAAAGACGUGGAGUACUUGAAGCUAACGGAACUAGGAGCAAAAUUGAGCGCAAUGAUGUUCCAUAAUUUAUACAACUGAUCCAUUUAGUGGGAUAAAACUUUGUUAUUGUUCGACUUGGAAUAUUAAAAAAUUGGUUUUUGUUAUUGAAAAACACGUAUAAAAUUAACUUUGGGAUGGCUUACUAAUCACACAUGUUGUGCAUCCCCCAAGUCAGAUGCUUGUAAUACAAGAUUGUGAAAUAAUUCAAUUAAGACUUAUACUAAUUAAUUAGUAGCUAGCUAGGAAGGAUUUUCAAAGAUUAAACACUUUAACAAAGAUAGGUCAUGAACUUAGGUUAUGUAGGUUAAUUUGACUGAUUCGAGCUAGGUUAUAUUGAGUUGCAAAUAAAGAAGAAAACCACCACUAUUGUGAACAACACAUCAUCUUUGCACUAUUCCAAAUAAUGAAGAAAACCACUACACAAUAAUUAGGAGUUGAAUGAACCACUACAAAGAUCCCUUCGUUUUAGAGGAUGAGGAGAAGCAGUGCCACUAGCAGGCUACUAGGCCAUUACCAAAAUUGAGAGAUAAACUAAGAAAAUGUAGACCAAUAAUUUAUGAUAAUUUUGAAUUGAGGAAAACCACACUUAUCACAUUUCUAAUAAAGUUAUAGAACCGACUAACACAUACGGAUCUCAUCUCUAUUAAAGAGGUGAUAUUAACUUAUAUAUGGUACUGGUUUGGUCUUUGAAUUCAAUUAAAUAAGAGCCAUGAGAAGUCACAUUUGUCUCGAUAUGCCAUUGGACGUACCAAUGAUCUACUCGCUAGGGCUGUUUAUAAGUCAAUAUCUGUAUCCCAUUGUGUCACAUGCUCAAACCCCAAGAGAUAAUAAGCCAUGAGAUUAGAUGACUCGUGUUCAUGGAGAUGAAGGAGUAUAUUCAAACUUUGUUUUGUGUCUACCAUUUGCCUCUCCUACAAUACCAUUUUAAUUAGUUUUGCAUGAAUGUUAUAUGUAAGGAAUAGAAACUAAUCAAUAUCAGAAAAAUAAUUGACUGUAUGGAGCUGUCAAUCUCUUCCUUGAACUUUAAUUUUAGCCGAUUGCCCCCUUAAACUUUUCUAAUUAGCCAAUUUUCUUCUUAAACUUUAACUUUAGCGCUCCCCUAAACUUUUAUAAAUAGCCAAUUCCUUCCCCCCAACGUUAGAUAUUAAGAAUUUUAAUCUAUCUUGAUCACGGAAACAACACAUAAUUGGCUAAAUUAAAGUUCAUGAAGGAAAUUGACAGCUGCAUACAAGUUCAGGGGACGAAUCAACAAAUGCCUCUUUAAAUUAAACAUAUUAUAAUACAUUGUUAGUUUAAGAUUCUACCACGACUUCUCCAGUGUAGAUAAGUCAUUCUAUAUGCAUUAAGCAAGGCAGUGUUGUUGUAUAAAUACCAUACCGAGUACAAAUAUUUCACUACUUCAUCCUCUAUGCCUAGGCAAUCCACAACUCCAACCACCAGACCCACAACCAAUAUACAACUCAUAUACAAAUAUAUAAUAAUAAUUCGAUCAAGCCAAAGAAAGUAUGGCAGCUUUUCAAGCUUCAAGCAUCUUUUGCUUGAUGGGAUCACCUAAUCAAAUGCGUUUUCAAAAACGAGUAAUCAAAGCUACUACCAAUAAUACUCCAAAAUUCCAGGUGAGUCCUCCAACUUCUCCUCCUCCCAAGCUCCCAACCAAAAGUUUUAUCCAGAACUUGGAAAACGAUUAUUUCCACUCUUCCAUCAAAAUCAACACCACUGGCAAUAUGUCAGAUGAUCCAACGGUGAUUCCUAAGCUGUAUGCAAUCAUGGAAGCCAUUGCAGACAGAGUGGAGAUGCAUAAGAACAUCGGAGCUCAGCGUGACAAUUGGAACCAUCUCCUUUUAAUCUCCAUCAAUGCAAUAACUCUCACUGCUGCAACCAUGGCAGGACUUGCAGCUGCUGCUAGUACUAUUUCUACUGCAAAAGCACCCUUUAUGGCUCUCAAGCUCUCUUCCACUUUUCUCUACGUAUCCGCCACCGCCAUGCUGGCGGUGACAAACAAAAUCCAACCGUCCCAGCUCGCCGAGGAGCAGCAGAACGCGGCGAGGCUGUUCAAGCAGCUCCAUGCACAGAUUCAAACAACCCUAUCUCUCAACAACAACAGUGUAAGUAAUAAUAUUAAUAAUGUGGAUGUGAAUGAAGCUAUAGAUAAAGUGUUGGCAUUGGACAGGGCUUACCCUCUUCCUUUGUUAGGUGAAAUGCUCGACAAGUUUCCCAAAACUGUGGAGCCCACAGUGUGGUGGCCAAGAGUACAGAAUCAUCAAAAUAGGGUUCGGGGGGUUGAAGGUGAUUUAGUACAUGGGAAUAAUGGGUGGAAUGAGAAGUUGGAAGAGGAGAUGAGAGAGGUUGCUAGGGUUUUGAAGAGCAAGGAUGUGCCUGAGUACUUGAGAUUGACUGAAAUAGCCUUGAAAGUCAACAGAGUUUUGGCUAUUUCUGGUCCUAUUUUAACUGCCCUUGCAGCUUUGGGGUCUAAUUUUGUGGGUUCAAGUAGCAAUCUUGGGGUGUGGGGAGUAAUGGUAGGGGUCAUAUGUGGAGCUUUGGCUAGUGUUGUGAAUACAUUGCAGCAUGGUGGGCAAGUUGGGAUGGUGGUUGAAAUGUACAGGAGCAAUGCUGGUUUUUUUAGGCUGAUGCAAGAGAGUAUUGAAUCAAAUUUGAGAGAGAAACAAGUUGAGAGGAGAGAGAAUGGGGGAGUGUUUGAAUUGAAGGUGGCUUUGCAGCUUGGAAGGAGCUUAUCAGAACUCAAUCUUGCUGUUUUCCCUGAAAAGUUUGCAAGCAAGCUAUUCUAGGGUUGUUGUAUAUAUGUUGGUUUUGGCUUUACCAAUUCGGUUAGUUUUUGUCACUUUUGUGUUGUAAUUUGUACAUUAUUGCGUAAUUUUAAUUUGUUCAUACAAAUAAUCACCAUGUCUCGAAUAAGAUUAAUCAAGUGUCAAAUUGCUUUUCAAUGAUUCGAACUUUUGAGUUUUUAGGUUUUUCUUCAAACAUUAUUGUUAUAAAAACCCACUCAAUUAAAUAAUGGUCAUUUUAGUGUUUUCUUGACUUAAUGUACUUGUCUAUACUUUUGGCUACAACUAAAUGUAUUAGCGAGUUUUUUAUUCCUCUAAUUUUUUAUAAGGACGGUCUUUGAAUGAAAAAUUGCAUGAAUUAGUGCUUUUAAGACAAUUAAAUUAAACAAAAAGUAUACAACAAUCAGUCGAGUAAUGCAGUUCACUAAAAUCUAACUAAGAGUGAUGGAGCUAGCCUCAAAGCCCAAAAUCAAAAUUUCCAAACUUUUAGGCUCAAAUCCUUACUUGUUACUUGGUAGUGAAUAUCUUUGUUGGAGAAAAGAGGGAAGGCAUGCAAGGGGAAUUGCAGCUCAUGAUUAAUUUGAAAUCUGCUAGCUGCAGUAGCCAUGUUGGCUUCCCCACUCACCACACCACCCUUAUUUAUUUGCCCCAAGUGGCAACUCAUUUUUAAAUCUGUCACCAUGAAUUCCUUUAUAAACAAUUAAACACGCUACUGGUAAUCAGUAAAAGGCUAGCCAAUAAUACGCUAUUUGGUGGCCGACUGCCGUUAAUGAUAAAUCUGGUAUAUCCACACCAGCCAAAUAAUGUGUAAACUAUAUAAUAACAAAGCGUUUGUAGCUUGGUUGGUUAAAAAUAUUCAUUUUUACGACAUAUUUACGAGUUUGGUUCUCCCUUUUCAACUAUGGUUGCUUUGCUUGGCUUGAAAAAAAAUGUAGUGGUUGGCAAGAGGGAAGAAUUUCAUCAAAGCCUGAAACUUUGCAUCCCUAGAAUUGCCCUUUUGACUUUCAAUUUAGGUUUAUAUCCUUAUAAUCUUAUAAAACUUGUCAAGUUAGCCACUCCGAUCAAAUGUAUCAACUUUUCAUCAAACUGAGAGUUACUUUUGACUAUUUAAGAAUCAUGUUUUAAAGAUAAUCAAAAGACACAUCACUAAAUUAAAAGUCAAAAAGACAAAUUGAAAAAAUGUUACGAGAAUGAAAGAGACAUGCACGAUGCAUCUAUGAUUCGAUUGUUAACCUAACGUGAUCUGCAUGAUGACUCCAAACGGUCGAAUUGGAGAACCAAUAUAAAUAGUAUAGUUUACAAAUUUACUAUUUCAUCCUAUAUGUGGUUGGAAUUACAAAUGCAGGACUGUGUAGUUUUUUAAUUUUUAAUUUUGGACCCAAAACAUUAUCACGUAACGAAGGAGGACCAUUUCUCCUCUUCGUCCUUCUUCAAUAACCAAACUAACACGUUCUUCCCAAAGCUUUCGACUUUAACCACACUCUGCUUACCCACCAAAACAAAAACUCCAGAAAGAUGAUUCAGCUGCUGUUCGUAGUGAUUUUAUCAGAAAUGGUUCUGAUACUGGCGUUUCUGUUCAGGACCCCCUUCAGGAAGCUGGUGAUUUUGGGGCUGGAUCAGAUCAAGCGCGGCCGCGGCCCCGUCGUGGUGAAGACGGUGGCGGCGACGGUGUUUGUGGUGCUGAUGACCAACGUUUACAGCAUAGUUAAGAUCAGAGGGAGCCGGAUCGACAAAGCUGCUGUUCUUAGUCCCACCGAUCAGGUCCUUAUGAUCAAGCACCUUCUCGACGCCACUCUCAUGGGUAAUUUUCAAUCUUAUGAUAACUUUUUCGGUUUUUGUUGUGGGUUAAUUGCUAGAACUUGAUUGCUAUCUGGGUAAUUCUUGAUUUUUGGGUUUAGUGACAUAAUCUCCGAUAAUUUUGAUUCUAGUGUGGAAUUCUUGAAUGUGCAUUUUCUUUUUUGUUAAUUGUUUAACUUUUGGUUUUUGUGAAUUGUGGUUGGAAUGUGGUUACUUUGAUGGAUUUGGGAAUGAGAUGGAUGAUGAAAGAUUAUAACUUUUUGCCUUCCUAUAUUCACAUCACUGUUUCAUUAAUUUCAUUAACAACACUAACUUGUAAGGGAAAGUAAAUAGCUAGGUUUUCUAGAUCUUAAUUAGUUGUUCUGAGAACCUGUUUUCGAGAAAUCAAAUUCGAGGCAUUAUGGUGUUAUAGUGGCCUGGUUCUGAGUUCUGUGGUUUUCAGAUGAAUGAUGUACACAGGCUGUCGAAAAUUAUGUGUGCAAAUUGCUCACUAAGAGUUUCAUAUUCCUCGAUAUUACCCAUGAUCUGAUAGAAAUAUUUCACUUAUUACUGUUGGUGAGGAGCAUUUUGUAACUUGACAUGUAAUUCUCAGAGGUAAUGAUGAAUUCUGUGUCUUGUUCACCUUGCUGCCGUCUAUGAUUAACGUCUGAAAUGGGCCUACUUACCACCAUACAGCCCUUUUGAGCAAGAAACUGAGCUCUUUUUUCGUUUAGUUAAGUUGGCAGGUUAAAUGCUAAAGUAAUUUGUAGAGGAAACCAAUAGGUCCUUCUAUCCGGAAAUAGCAUUGAUAUUGUAGACAGCAAUGUGAUUAUAUCAGCUGCACUUUGUUUGUAUCGGUUGUAUCAGCACAGAAGUAUUUUAUUUGCUUCUCCUUUUCUUUGUUAAAUGCAAGUUUCAGUUUUCAUUAUGUCAUCAGUGUAUAAAAAAAAUGUCGUACCCAGUGCACAAGGCUCCCGCUUUACGCAGGGUCUGGGAGAGGUGAAUGUCGGCUAGCCUUACCCCCAUUUAUGGAGAGGCUGCUCCCAGGUCUCGAACCCGAGACCUAUCGCUCAUGGGCGAAGGCACUUGCCAUCGCACCAAGUGCGACCUCUUAAAUGACACCAGUGAAAAACAGAUAUGAUGUCCUUUAUUUGUACUCUUAAAGAGUAACUAAUGUUAAUUGAGUUUUGAAUUGAUUUUUGUUCAAUCCAUUGUUCCCCUGCCUCGUCUGUAUGAUGAGGAUGAAAUGAGAAUCAAUCUAAUCAUGUCCUACAUGUUUAAUUAACUUUUAAGUAGAUUCGCACGCUCCUUACCCCUUUUCCCCGAUAUUUAUAGUAGCUUUCGCUUGCUGACAGUAAAAGAUAAUUACCUAGCUGAACCGUCCUUAAUAACCCAUGUUGUGAAUUGCAUUGUGGUUAUGUUGCUACAAUUUCUGUUUACGAGAUGUUCAUUUCGGUGGGGAGUUUCAUGUUUCAUGAAUUCCUAUUGCUUACUGAGUGAUAAUCUUGUCAGUCUUUGACUCAUUUGCAUCUCCCACUUGCAGGAUGCUCCCUAUUUCUUGCUCUUAUGAUAGACAGACUACACCACUACAUUAGAGAACUUCGUAUACGAAGAAAGGGCAUGGAAGCCCUUAAGAAACAGAACAGAGGAUCUGAGGAUGGAAAAUCUAGCAGUUUGGAUAAGAUGAAAGUCUUGGAGAAUGAGAUGGCUACAUUGCAUACGAGACUCAAACAACUAGAAUCUGAAAUCGAGACAAAGACGAAAGAUGUUCAUACUGCAGAGUCCAGCAUCCUUGCUCUAAGAAAACAAUCGGAAGGGUUUCUUCUCGAGUAUGAUCGUUUACUUGAAGAAAACCAAAACUUAAAGAAUCGGUUGCAGUCAGUUGACUGGAAAAUGUCACGUUCAAGUAGCAAGAAAGAUUCAUAAAGGAUUUUAACCACAUUUUGAGAUUUUUAAUUUGUUAUUUAAUUUCACAGAAGUUGUUCGUGAGUGUUUUAAGAUGGGUUUAUUAAUUACAUUUAAUUUGUCAUAUAUGCUAAUUCUGAGGGGUGAGAGAGAGAGGCUCACCACUUUGUACGGCUAAUGUAACUAAAAGUUGAGUGUUGAAGUAUAAUCCAUAAAAUUAUUCAGUUUUGUCUUGAUAAACUGUGAUAUAUUUUCAUGCCAUCGAUUAAUGAUAUGGUUUUUUUUUUUUUCUCUAAUUUUCAUUUGCAAGUUAACAUCCAUUUCCUGCCUUAGUGUUAUAGUAAAUAUCGAAUCCGAUCCCAUAUAAUAUAUGUUACUCAGUUGGAGAGAGUUACACAUACCCAACACGCCACAAAGGUGCAUUGAGACUUUCUCAUGCUGUAGGACUUACUUACCUUUGGCUAAGAGUGCAUAGAAACGUAUGUAUUACCCAUUCCCUCAUGUUAAGCCACACGGAUUCUCAUACAAUUAACAAUAACACCCAUACAUUUCAUCCGAAUGAUACAUUUCUUGUUAUAUUAGAGAGCAUUAAAAACCAGAACUGGGCAAUACACAAACACUACAAGCAAUAUACGUUCUUUGUCUGUUCAUGUUUGCAUGGCUUCAUGAUCACAGGUUUCUGAAUACUUCAUAAAUAACCGCUGAACUUCACAUUGCAACUUGAUUCUUUUUGUACUACUUUAAUUCAUGGAAGUAUCUCCAAAUAUCCAUUGGAUUAAACAAUUAUUUAUGUUAAAUUAUUUAGGGGACAUUUUACCAAAUGAAGGAAUCACGAGAAACAAGCAAACUUAAUUAGAUAAACUCACGGUGCCGAUUUAGUCACUUUCAUUGGAUUUGAAAAUAUCCUGUGAAUUGCCUAAGGCUAUUGAUAUUUUUACCUUCGUGGGAUAACUUGUUUGCAGACUUGAGAGGAAGCGUAGAAAGGAUUUCAUACCAGAAAGAAAUUUAUUUUAUCAUAAUUCAAGAACUUGAGGUAGGAUACUUGGCUGACAACAAACUGCUCUUGGAUAUUAAUCCAUUUUCAGUUACCAAUUGGAAUUUAUCGUCCAUUUUCAUGUAGAAGAGCCACAUCGUUCCUUUAACAGUAUAGACAUGCAAGGCUGAUAAUAAAAUGCAUAGUACCUAAACAAGAUAAUACAUAAGCAAGACUGAUACCUAAACAAGAUAAGACAGCAGCAAGGAUGCAUGCCUAUGCCUUCAGUCUUCCUCUCCAUACAUCAAAUCCGGCUUGUAUUGGUGCAGUGCCAUAAGCAUUAUAUUUUCAUGAGCUUCAAAAGCGCACAUCAAAUCCUAGUCAAUUACAUGUGCCCAACGUCCAGCAAAAACAAACAACUUUCUGAAUUGAUUACAUAAAGUAACUUCGUAGUAAAUAAAAAAACAUAGUAACAUGAGUGAAGUGUUUUGCUAUGUUCCGCACAGUAAUCAGAUACUACACUACCCAUUCAGAUUGACAAUUCCACAUAUAUAUAUAUAUAUAUAUAUAUAUAUAUAUAUAUAUAUAUAUAUAUAUAUAUAUAUAUAUCCUUCUUACUUGAACCCAUGUAGGCAUUCCCCAGCAAGGCCUUCCACGGCGGGAUAGAAGCAUCAAUUCCAUGAGAUAAAAAGACUCUAGAUCUGAUUCCCUCGAAUCAUUUUCUCUAGAAGAUGCCUAACAAAAAAUGUCUUCCGUGAUAUUAUGGUUUCUGAAGUCAUCAUAGAAUGGUGGUUUCGCAGCAAAUACUUUGCAAAUCUAUGAAAUAAAUAAACAAGUAUGCAAGUAUAAUUAUUAAGAAGCAAUAAAUAUCGACUCAAAAGGUAACGCAUAAACAAUUCAAAACCCAACUUAUAGUUUGACUCCAAACAAAUAAACAAAUCAUUAAGUAUCUGAAGAAGUGUUCCUCCAAACAGGGGCUUCAACGCCUUACGUAAAUCAUUUAUAUCAUUAGCAUCAUCAUCUGUUAUAUGAGCAUCCUUACGGUGUAAGGUUACAACUCUCCUACCAUUCCAAAAUAAGUUUUCUAAGCGAAUGUUCAAAUGAUGAUCCACUGGAAUAGUAGGAGAAUGGUAACCUUACACCGUAAGGAUGCUCAUAUAGCGAAUGAUGAUGCUGAUGAUAUAAAUGAUUUACGUAAGGCGCUACAGCCCCUGUUUGGAGGAACAUUUUCUCAGAUACUUAAUGAUUUGUUUAUUUGUUUGGAGUCAAACGUGCAAGUUGGGUUUUGAAUUGUUUAUUGCGUUAACUUUUGAGUAGAUAUUUAUUGCUUUUUAUAAUUAUAAUUGCAUAAUUGUUUAUUUAUUUCAUAGAUCUAUAAAGAAUUUGCUGCGAAACCACCAUUCUCUGAUGACUUCAGAUGUCAGAAUAUCAUGAAGGGCAUUUUUUGUUAGGCAUCUCCUAGAGAAAAGGAUUUUAGGGAAUCACUUUUUUUUUGCUAACUAUGUUGUACCUACUCAUGGAUAUAGAGUCUUUCUAUCUCAUGGAAUUAAUGCUUCUAUUCCGCCGUGGAAUGUCUUGCUAGGGAAUGCCUACAUGGGUUCAAGUAGAAAGGAUACAUACAUGUGGAAUCGUCAAUCUGAAUGCGCAGUACAAUAUUUGAUUACUGCACGCAACAUAGCAGAUCACUUCACUCAUGUUAGUAUGCUUUUUUUUAACUACGAAGUUACUUUCGGUAUUUUUAUGUAAUCAAUUCAGAAAAUUGUUUGUUUUUACAGGAUGUUGAGGCACACGUAAUUGACAGGGAUUUGACAUGCGCUUUUGAAGCUCAUGAAAAUAUCAUGCUUAUGGCACUGCACCAAUACAAGCCAGAUUUGAUGUAUGGUGAGGAAGAGUGAAGGUAUAGGCAUGCAUCCAUGUUGCUAUCUUAUCUUGUUUAGAUACUUUGCAUUAUUGUUUUUACAAUCAGUCUUGCUACUGUCUUAUCUUGUUUAGGUACUAUGCAUUUUAUUAUCAGCCUUGCAUGUCUACAUGAAAAUGGACGAUACAUUCCAAUUGGUAACUGAAAAUGGAUUAAUAUCCAAGAGCAGUUUGUUGUCAGCCAAGUAUCCUAGCUCAAGUUCUUGAAUUAUGAUAAAAUAAAUUUCUUUCUGGUAUGAAUUAAUAUCCAAGACCGUUAACUGUAUAGGCAUGCAUCCAUGUUGCUAUCUUAUCUUGUUUAGGUACUUCGCAUUAUUGUUUUUACGAUCAGUCUUGCUACUGUCUUAUCUUGUUUAGGUACUAUACAUCUUACAAUCAGGGUUGAGUGAUAAAUGAAGUAACAAGUAGACAUUUGCAAUCAAACAAAAUACAAAGGAUUGAGUCAUGUACCGACUUAAGACCCAACAAGUGCAUUGAGACAAGGGUGCCCUCUGCCUUGUAAAGACAAAAUAACUGUUAGCGGUCGGAUCUACUGAUUUUGAGGCAUAACAUAAAUAAUAGCAUCAUUCUUCAGUGUUUAACCUUAAUCUCAAAUAAAAGAAAAUACUUAGGAAGAUCAAAUUUAACACAAGACCAUAUAUACCUUGGGUGGCAGGGGAAAAACAUAUAUUGUUAUAUGUUUAAACCGCUCACACAAUUCAGGAAAGAAUGGAUGUAUCCAUUUAGAGGCUGCACUGCCCAUUGCCCAUUGACCAACAAGUAAGUAAAUUCAUUACUUGGAAAAUAAAAGAAACAAAAAUGACCAUUCAUAUAAUGAUGAUCAAAUGCAACAACAAAAAUGAAAGUAAAUUCAUGGAUCACGACUUAGACAUACUUUUCUUGCAACCACAAGCCGUGAAGUAGAGAACCGAUGGAAGGCGUUCAUCUAUCUCAAUAAUAAAAAUGAUUGAAUUAGAAAAAUAUAUAUAGAAUAAAACCACAAAUUAUUCAACGAGGUUUGGUGUAGAGAGAAUCUUAAAAAUGUUGUAAAAUCGGCGAUAUGUGCAGUGGAAUAAAUGAAAUAAGACACAAUAUUUACGAGUUACCUCUAUAGUCAAUGUGACUGGAGUAAGUUUUCGGAACAGCAGUGGUGUUUUCAUUUAUAAUCUGAAAUAAUGAGAGUACAAAUAUAACUCUCUCUAUUCUCUCAUCUCUUCUUCCUCUCCUAUUUCCUCAUCUCUUCUUUCUCUCUUCUUCCUUUCUUUGAUGUUGUUUCAUAAUUCCCUCUUCUUCCUCUCUUUGAUGUUGAUUCAUAAUUCCCUCUCUUCUUGAUGUGUGUUCUUCCUUUUACACUAUGAUCUUCCAUAUAUAGGCAAAUGAAUGGAUAAGAUGUUAAAUCAAAAUCUACCACACUUAAUGUUUUUACCUACUACAUUUAUUAAUUUUUUACCUAACCAAACCUACUCCCACACUUACUACACCUAUUAAUCCUUUACCUAACCAAACCUAAUACUCUCACUAAAUACAUCCAAUAUUUACAGCAAAAAAUUAAGAGGUAUUCAUCAAUUUCCCCCCUGAACUUGUGACUAUUGGUCAAUUUCCCCCCUCAACUUUAAUUUUGGCCAAUUUCCCCCCUCAACUCUCAUAAUUAGUCAAUUUGCACCCAAUUGUUAAUUUUUUUUUUUUAAUUUUCCAUCUAUUCUUUUUUUUUUUCAAUCUUUCUAAUAACUUCCAACAAAGUACUAAAAUUAACAUAAACUCACUUGCAUAAUAUAGGGUAAAAUGUACAAAAACAUUAAUACAAUUAGUAUGUGAUAUGGGUUGAUUAUAAGAAAAAGUUAUGAAUCGGUUUAAAGCAUGUAAAAGAAGAAAUAAUAACAAAAAGACAUAAUAAUCAUAAACUCAUGGAUCAGACAUAUUUCAAUAAAAUAGGUUAUUCUUAAUAAUGAGUAAAAAAUUAUGAAUUGACUAGCCAUUUUUGCACUAAAACUCGAUUCUCUACAAUUUACUUGAACUUAGCUUUCACCUUUAUAAAGAAAAUUGUAUUCACAUACAAAAAUGUACACAUCAAUCCUUUUCGUUAUCAAUUUUGUAUAGUAAAAAAUCAAAUAAAAUUACGCCAUACUGAUUUAUUAUGACUAAUAAUACUAUCUAUGAUAAAUUGUAAAAUUCUAAAUUUUAAUCUAUUUGUAAUAGGAUAAAGAUAUAGGAAAAUGAUUAACAUACAUCUUAUUUAAUUUCUUACACACACUUGUUUAAUUAUGAUCAAAUUAAAAAAUUAAUAGUAGGGUGCAAAUUGACUAAUUAUGAGAGUUGAGGGGGGAAAUUGGCCAAAAUUAAAGUUGAGGGGGGCAAUUGGCCAAUAGUCACAAGUUCAGAGGGGAAAUUGAUGAAUACCUCAAAAAUUAAUACCUUUAAUUUUGUUCAGUGCCCUGUCAUAAGUUCAUAACCAAAUGCAGUAUUAAAGAGGACAAUGUUUGCUGGAUAUGGACGUGGAGGUACUGUAUCAGCUAGAGGACCUGAAUCCAAAUCAUUUUUUCCUUUUUUUUUUGGGUUCCUCAUUUUUGGGCAACGAUUCCAAAUCCGAUUCCCCAGUUUGAAUCGAUAUAUUUGUUUUUCGUCGGAGGGAUCGUCGGUGUUGGAGAGAAUGAAGAGAAUAGGAUGGAAUAAUCGAUAAACAGGGUAGGGUUUUGGUAGGAUUAGAAACAAAUGAACUUUAACGAAAAACUUUGAUACUGUUCAUUUUAACGAAAAACCACAUUUUUACAAUAAAAAAUCAAUUUUGAUACUAUUUACUUUACUUUUUAUUUUGUCAUUAUAGUCAAAACUCAAAGUUUUCAAACUAUUUUUAUUAAUUUUCCUUGAAAACAGUGUGCAUACGACGGUGGAGGAGAACACCAACACCAGCACGGCCGCAUCAAAAACCCUAAAUUCCUCUUCGCCAUUCUCCGCCUCUCUCUUCCGCUUCUCUUUCUUUUGGGUGUUUUCUAUCAAGUAUUUAUUGUCUCUACCCAUAGAGGUAGGCAAGAGCUGCUUCUGACUGCUUUGGGCUGGGCUUAUUGGGCCCUUUUUUCUAGAAUUUGCCCAGCCCUAACACAUAUUUGAGGUUUCGAAUCUUCUACCCAACAAAUAAGUUCGCCAGACAAUCCAACCUCAUAUUUGAACAAUUGUCCCCAAUAUUAAUAGAAUCCAAGAUUGAGCGGUAAUUUUCAAACUCGAUAUUCAUGAAAUUCGAUUUUAAGACCUUUCAUUACAAGUGAAAAGAAAACUACCACUAAAUCAUUGCGAAAUGACUUAUUUUAUUUAAGAAAAGCAAGCUACACGAAAUGGUUUAAAUUUGCAACAUGACUCAAGGGCACCUUGUCGUAUGAAUUCACCUUUUACCCUUGAAGCAUAGUUCGGUUCUAGAAAUAGUGUAUUUUUGCACUACUUUUCUUGAUAAAAAAAAAAAAAAAAAAAAAAACUAGUUCGUUAACUAUGUAGUGUGGAUACUAAAUUGCCUAGGAAAAAACUAAAAUAUCAACUUUAGUUCUCUCCCUCUCCUCUGUGCGGCUCACCUCUCUUCCACGAGAGAAGGGGAAAUACAACAAUACCAACCAAACUUUUAUCUUACUAAAUGGUGUGGCUAUAUAAAUCCUAGAACGUCACUGCGUUUUGUUUUUUCCGCCAAGCCUUUCAUUAACACUACUACAAAACUACCCAUUACUGGCAUAAAUAAAAACGACAAGAAAAGGUUAUUACUGAGGGAUUUUAAGCAAAAUCCGACAGAAAAUGGUUGCAGUGGCGGAUAUCAUAAGCGACAGCAUUGCUCGCGUCAGGAAAUAAAUUUUCCGACAGAAAAUACUAUAAAACCGACACUACUACUGUCGGUUUUAUCCGACAGAAAUUUCGUCGGUUAUAACCGACAGGAUAUAUAUUUAUUUAUUAUAAUUUAUGUCGCAUAAAACCGACAGAAAAUACUAAAACCGUCAGGAAUUCUGUCGGAUAUAACCGACAGAGAAUUUAUUAUAAAAUAUAUAAAAUCAUUCUUGUCAGAUACAACCGACAAAAAGUAUAUUAAUAAAUAAAAAAUCUGCGUUCACCAUCCAAAACCUCACCGGAGCUCGAGCUCGAACUCGAAAACAUUAGAUACCUCAACAACUUGAACAAACAACCAAAAACCCAAGAAAAAACACACAAAAAGCUGAGAGAGAGUAGCAGAUUUGAUGGAGCUCGAGCUCGAACUCGAAAAUAAUAUGUCGUGGCCUUUUGCUCUCUACCACUGGUUGAGCAAGAUUGGAUGGAGCCGAAGCUACAAAAGGUUCUAUAUCCCAAGGAGAACUGCAGCAUGCUCGAGCUCGAACUCAAAAAUAAUAUGUCGAGGCCUUUGAACUGCAGCAUGCUCAUCCCAUUGAACCUGCAAGAAAUACAACUAAAGAUAAGUAGAUGAACAGGAAGAAAUAAAACAGCAUUUGAUCUGUAACUUGUUAGCAUCUUAACCUUCAACGAUCACCAUUUAGAUUCAGUCCACUGAGGACAUAAAUCCCCAACCUCAACUAUUGUGCCUGUGAACCUGAGCAAUAUGAGAGACACACAGAGAGAGAGAGAGAGAGAGAGAGAGAGAGAGAGAGAGAUAGCUAAAGCUAGGGUUCGAACUGGAAGUAAAUGAGGAGAGGAGAGAAGAGAAGGAGAAGGAAAUGAGGAGAGGAGAAAAUAGGGAAGGGAGAAGCACCGACGGCAGGGAGAGAUGGAGGGGGGGUUAUAAUGUGGAAAUGCUUCAUUACUGUCGGUUAAAACCGACAGAAAUGUUUUUAAUAAAAAUCGACAAAUUUUUUUUUAAUAAAAACCGACAGAAACUUUCGUUAAUGUCGGUUAUAACCGACAGAAACAAAAUGGAGGCAAAAAUUUUAAACUUUCCCCCAAAUUUUAAAAUUUUAAACUUUCCCCCAAAUUUUAAAUUCCCCCCCCCCCCCCCCAAAUUUUGUUACAAUUUUAAAAAAUAAAAUAAUAAUUGUUUGGUUUAAUAAAUAAAUAAAUAAUAUGUAUUUAAAUAGAAUAUGUUUUUAAAAAUUAAAUAAAUAAUUCUUUGGUUUAAUAGAUAAUUUUUACAUUUUUGGUUUAAUAGAUAAUAAUCCAUGUAAAAUAUGCGAUAAAUAAACAAAAAGAGAAUUGUACAAUGAAAAUGUCUUCACACGAACUAAAUAUUGUCUAAUCAAUACUUGAAAAACAUAAAUAAAAAUUUAGCACAUAUUACUUUUCCCACUUCAAUUUAGCACAAAAUUUUGGCAAAUUUAUGCAUUCUACGAAAUUAGUUUCCAUGAUCUAACCGUCAAACUUGUUUGUAGAUACUAUAAGAUCGCAUAUGUAAAAAAUCGUAAAAAACAAACAUUCAAAGAUUACGUAACGGAACAAAAGUUUUCGACGGUUAUAAACGAAAAUUCAUAAUUUAACGGUUAUUUUAGCUUCGAUUUUAAUGAUUUUUUACAACUACACUCUUCGACCCUAUAAGAAUGUAAUGAAUGAAUUUGAUCUUCAAUUUAAAAUAUUUACACUAGUGAAUACCACAAAAUCUUAUUUUAUUCUUAAUGGAAGUAUAACAUUAACUCUAAGUGUUUGUUUAAUCUACUGUUUUGAUGUGAUACGCAUUCUAAGAAGCUUUUUUCAACGAUCCAACCGUCAAAAUUAUUUGUAUACACUCCGAGAUUGCAUACGUAAAAAAUCGUAAAAAACAAACAUUCAGAGAUUACAUAACGGAACAAAAGUUUUCGACGGUUACAAACAAAAAAUCACAAUUUAACGGUUAUUUUAGCUCCAAUUUUGAUGAUUUUUUACAGCUACACUCCUCGACCCUAUAAGAAUGUAAUGAAUAAAUUUGAUCUUUAAUUUAAAAUAUUUACACUAGUGGAUACCACAAAAUCUUAUUUUAUUCUUAAUGGAAGUAUAACAUUAACUCUAAGUGUUUGUUUAAUCUACUGUUUUGAUGUGAUACGUAUUCUAAGAAGCUUUUUUCAAUGAUUCAACCAUUAAAAUUAUUUGUACACACUCCAAGAUUGCAUACAUAAAAAAUCAUAAAAAACAAACAUUCAGAGAUUACAUAACGGAACAAAAGUUUUCGACGGUUACAAACAAAAAAUCACAAUUUAACGGUUAUUUUAGCUCCGAUUUUGAUGAUUUUUUACAGCUACACUCCUCAACCCUAUAAGAAUGUAAUGAAUAAAUUUGAUCUUUAAUUUAAAAUAUUUACACUACUGGAUACCACAAAAUCUUACUUUAUACUUAAUAGAAGUAUAAUAUUAACCAAGUGUUUGUUUAAUCUACCGUUUUGACGCAAUAUGCAUUAUACAAAACUUUUUUCAACGAUCCAACCGUCAAACUUAUUUGUACACACUCCAAGAUUGCAUAUGUCAAAAAUCGUAAAAAACAAACAUUCAAAGAUUACGUAACGGAACAAAAUUUUUCGACAAUUAUAAAAGAAAAAUUCACAAUUUAACGGUUAUUUUAGCUCCGAUUUUGAUGAUUUUUUACAGCUACACUCCAGAACCCUAUAAGAAUGUAAUGAAUAAAUUUGAUCUUCAAUUUAAAAUAUCUACACUAGUAGAUACCACAAAAUCUUAUUUUAUACUUAAUAGAAGUAUAAUAUUAACCAGUGUUUGUUUAAUCUACAGUUUUGAUGCAAUAUGCAUUCUAUGAAACUUUUUUCAACGAUCCAACCAUCAAACUUAUUUUUACACACUCCGAGAUUGCAUAUGUAAAAAGUUGUAAAAAACAAACAUUCAGAGAUUAGGUAACGAAACAAAAAAUUUUGAUGAUUAUAAACAAAAAAUCACAAUUUAACGAUUAUUUUAGCUUCGAUUUUGAUGAUUUUUUAUAGCUACACUUCUCGAUCUUCAAUUUAAAAUAUUUGCACUAGUGGAUAAUUUUUUAUACUUAAUGGAACUAUAACAUUAACUCUUAAGUGUUUGUUAAAUCUAUCAAUUUGAUAGGAUAUGCAUUAUACGAAACUAGUUUCAACGAUUCAACCGUCAAAUAUGUUUGUAUAUACUCCGAGAUAGCAUGUGUAAAAAAUCGCAAAAAAAAAAAACAUUCAGAGAUUAGGUAAUGGGACCGUGAGUGAAAAAAAAAAUAUUCACACCAUUUGUUUAUUUAUUUUUAAUCAAUGUAACAUUUUAAAAUAAUAAAAUAGUCAAUUUAUGUCGGUUAUAACCGCCACAAUUAACUUAGAACCGUCAAAAUAAUUUAAAAAUAUUAAAAAAAAGAGAAUUCAAAAAUACUGAGGGUUAUAAUAAUUUUAUGGUGGUUAAAUCCGCCAGGAAAAAUCCGUCAGGACUUUAUGUCGGAUAUAUCCGAUAGAAAGUAACUUUAAUCCGACAGUAAAUAAAUUAUGUGUCGGAAAUCUUUUAUCUGUCAGAAUGACUUAUUAACUGCCAUGAUCGUCCGACACCUAAAGCUAAUAUUGUAGUAGUGUAACAAGGGGAAAUAAGAGAGAAAAUUAAAAAAAAAAAAAUCCGGCUUCCGCUAGGAAAAAAGAAAAGGAAUGAAAAAUGCAAAACCAGGGUUUUACCUAAGAAGAAAAAAAAAGGAAACAAAUUAAACCAGUCAAUAGCUCGAUUAAUUCUUGACAUAUAUUUCGGAUUCUGCUUGGAAGUUAAAGGAAAAGGAAUGAAAAAUCCCUUACUUCCAAACCAACUUACCCAAAAGCCUAAGUUGAUGAUAACCUAUGUGUAUAUAUACACUACAUACCCACUCUAUUUGUAUGAGAAACCCAUCCAUCCUAAGGGUUCUCUCUUUGCUGAAGCUUUCUGGGGACAUCACCCAUGGAGCUUUUAACGUUCACUAGCAUGUUCGGCCUGAACUUGGGCAUGCUCCAGUUUCUCUUCUUCGUGCACUACAUCACGAUGAUCCAGACACCUUUCGAGUGCGUCAUCAGUUACUACAGCCUGCUCCUCGACUUCACUCUCAUCGGUAAUGUUCGUUUUGUUUUUUAUACGUAUAAACUGACAU